rnacentral:lncRNA from 1 species
UCAUGGACAACCUUGCUCUAGGAUAGCCGGACCCACCGGCCCCUUGAAGAGACCAUAGCAAAAGAGAUAAGAAAGGACCUUAUGCAUCAUGAUACACAAUGCUUUUUGCUCCGAAUAGUCGGACUUUGAGACUCUACGCGUCGGAGACUCGGUGUUGAUCUUCGCCACACCCUCUGUUGAAGAGAGCCAUCUCUGCCGUCAACAAGGACAACCAAAUAUUGCAUUUCUUUUUACUAAAAUUGCCCUAGUUAGCACCUAUACAUUUCUCCUUACCCAGAACCUUAUUUCUUUUUGCCUAGGGUUGGCGCUAUGUCGACUCGUGCCUUCGAUAAUGUGACAACACAAGACUCCCAUUUGUCUUCGGCAUUGACACUGCUUGGGACUUGGCUAUUUCGUGGCUAGGGCCCCAGGCACCCCAUUCUUUCCACUGUAGGCGCCAUGCUAUGCUUAAAUUGAGGCAUACGGUGUCGUUUUCAAUAGGCAUGCUCUGGGCCGAAGACUCUUAAAAUUAUUUGAUUCUAUAAAUGGAGCUUUCAACACUACAAUGAUGUCAGGGCCAACAUUACAAUUCUAAUAAAGAUUCAUUCCCUUCCCUGCUCCCAGAUGUAGUUCACACUACCUUGCUCGUCGGGGCACACCUCUUCUACUUGGUAGCCGCCAAAACUAUGGCCAACGGAGGUUAUACUAUCGGCGGCACGGUUACUUAUGUUAUGCCACCAACAAAGAUAGCAACUGUCUUCGAGUUCCGAGCUGUUGCGUUUGACAGAGCUAUGAAGUCGACUCAGGCAAAGAGGGCGGAACGUCUUGGGUCCCGGGAGGAAGAAUACCCAAAACUGAAAUAUAGAGUAACCAGUACACUUUUAGCUUUGUUUUUGAGGAACAACCCAACCACAGGUUUAUUACAGAACGGUGUUAUUGCAAUCCUCCAAGAGGAUGCUUCUAAGGUUUGGAGGGACAUCUCCAAUAGAGAAACAGUCUCCCUGUCUCCUGGCAUGAGCUGCAAUCUUGUGCGUCAGCUUGUUGCUAGCCCUCCUCACAGCCUUGUAAGUUAUCGCUGCAAACUUCUUCUCGAGGUUCCAAACGUCUGUGAUUAGAGGGAACAAAGCGGACUGAUUGCUGCCUCUAUUGUUCAGUAGAUUCAAUACCGUAGCACAAUCAGACUCCAGACAAAUCGGCCCCUGGUGUACUUAGUUAGGACAGAAAGACCAUGCAAGAUUGCAGCAAGUUCAGCUUCCUCCCGGCUGUUGCAUAGUUGUAAACGCUGACCACUACACAAAGCGACCUUCCCAGGUUGUUUCUGACGACUAUGUAGGCCGUCGAUUCCCCGGAGCUAGGCAGGAAGGACGCGUCCGAGUUCAUUUUCCAUCUACCCUCGACCGGUGGAGUUCAUAUUCGCCCAUCCACUGAUUCGGACCACGCUGGCAUCUCUUCUGAUUUGUUUUCCUGAUUCCCCACACUGACGCAGACCAUAUGUAUGAUGCAUGUGUUCAUCCCUUGGGGCCUUUUCCCCUCCUUGAUUUCUACACGUCACGAAUAAGCGGCCCGAGCGUAGUGAUGGCCAACCAGGGGUGCAGCCCUCUCGCCUGCACUGCAAUCAGUUUCAUCCAUCUUGAUUUCAUCCACAUAUUUUAACAGGAAUUGGACAGACUGACCAAGAGGAGCCUUUCCAUCUGGAUGGAUGCAAUCAUUGUUUUCACUUUCGAUGAGAUUAUGAUGAAAUUCAUUGAAUUUCAUUAAUUUCAGCAGACGCUGAAAUAUUUCCGUUGCGGCCAAAAUAUUUCGGCAAUUUCAGUAGUACACAGAAAUUCAAAUAUAUUUCUGAAUAUUUUCCAAAAAAACAAAAUGUCGUGCGCCAAUGCUUUUCAAAGGAGCUUAUUAUGCAAUGAACAUAAUCGAUCUUAUUACAAAAUCAAUGUCUUACUUCAUAGAUUCGAGAGAAUAGGAGAACAGUAGCCUGACAAACAGUCGGUUCAGUCCGAUUCAGGUGCCUAAUCAAAUAGAACCCUUAUGGAUUUGCUAGUUGAUAAGGUAAAUAUCCAGCCCACUAAAUGCUAGGCGUAAUGAGGAUAAGGGCCUCCAAAAAACGGGCGAGGUCUCUGGUUCAAGUCCAGGAUGGCCCAGCCGCGCCAGGGAAAAGNNNNNNNNNNUUCCGAGUAAGUCCUCAGCCUGGGGUUCCGCCCGAAGAAGCAGGGGCUGCAGUAGCUGCCGAAUCUUCUACUGGUACAUGGACAACUGUUUGGACUGAUGGACUUACCAGUCUUGAUCGUUACAAAGGACGAUGCUAUCACAUCGAGCCUGUUGCUGGGGAAGACAGCCAAUGGAUCUGUUAUGUAGCUUAUCCAUUAGACCUAUUUGAAGAGGGUUCCGUUACUAACAUGUUUACUUCCAUUGUAGGUAACGUAUUUGGUUUCAAAGCCCUACGUGCUCUACGUUUGGAGGAUCUACGAAUUCCCCCUACUUAUUCAAAAACUUUCCAAGGCCCGCCUCAUGGUAUCCAAGUUGAAAGAGAUAAGUUGAACAAGUAUGGUCGUCCUUUAUUGGGAUGUACUAUUAAACCAAAAUUGGGAUUAUCCGCAAAAAAUUAUGGUAGAGCGUGUUAUGAGUGUCUACGUGGUGGAGUUGAUUUUACCAAAGAUGAUGAAAACGUAAACUCACAACCAUUUAUGCGCUGGAGAGACCGUUUUGUCUUUUGUGCCGAAGCUAUUUAUAAAUCACAGGCCGAAACCGGUGAAAUCAAGGGGCAUUACUUGAAUGCGACUGCGGGUACAUGUGAAGAAAUGAUUAAGAGAGCUGUAUUUGCAAGAGAAUUAGGGGUUCCUAUUGUAAUGCAUGACUACUUAACUGGGGGAUUCACCGCAAAUACUACUUUGGCUCAUUAUUGCCGCGACAAUGGCCUACUUCUUCACAUUCACCGUGCAAUGCAUGCAGUUAUUGAUAGACAGAAAAAUCAUGGUAUGCAUUUCCGUGUAUUAGCUAAAGCAUUGCGUAUGUCUGGGGGAGAUCAUAUCCACUCCGGUACAGUAGUNNNNNNNNNNAAGUGAAUAUUUUGGCUCUUUGACUGAAAUGAAAACCAAAACCACUGAAUGAAUUUUGGUGAUUUAGGCUGGUGCUGAAAGUUUUUCUGAAACGGAAAUUGAAAGCCAUGGAUGUAAUCAUAGAUCUCUCAGCCACCAGGACCACCAUAGCAGGAGCAGGAGCUUUCUUCUCCCCUCCGCAUGACACCUACCCACGAGGUUGGAGCCAGUCCUCACCAGUAAAACGACACAGAUCUUCCGCCGGUAAAUCCCAGUGAGCCCUCAUUUCUUCUCUAAGUGCUCUGGCCUUUGUGCAGCUCAUUACUGUAUGGAAUUCAUCUUCCUUUUUUCCUUCCGCAAAUAUUACAGAUAUUAUCGACCACAAGUGUUAUCUUCCUCUUAUUCUCCUUUCUGGGUAGUGUUUCGGUUGCCACCCGCCAUGCAAAUAUCCUAACUUUUUCUGGUACCUUUGCCUUCCAUAUGAGAUCCCAUAUGCUUCUAUUAUCCGCCUCAUUACUUGAGCUUGAUGGCGUCAUGUUACCUUGAUGUUUCAGAUUGCGCCGAGCCUGUAGGCACUUCGAACAGAGAACACACCCGACUUCUCCUCGUUCCAUGCAACACAGUCCUCCACCAUACUUGAUGGGAUGUUUAUUUUACAUAUUGCUUCCGCAUCAUACUUACGAAAUAGCUGACGCACGAGGGCUUCGUCGCACUAUUUACUCCCCUGGCUUCGUUAGCUGGUUCACCCACCUCAAUCUUGACCGACUUUUAAAUACUGUGAUCUUUAGGCCACUCCUCCUGGGGACCCAUUGGUCCCUCUGAAUUUGAAUAUUCUCCCCAUGUCCCACUCUCCAAAUUAGUCCUUUUUCAGUAAUUCUAGUCCAUGUUCAAUUCCUCUCCAUGAUUGCGAGGCGUCUCAAGCAAACAUGGUGUCAAGGAGCUCACCUCUAGGGUAGUAUUUUGAUUUAAGGACCCUUGCAUAAAGACUAUUAGGAUUUCGAGAAAGACGCCGACCUUGUCGCGCUAAGAGGGCUUGGUUGAAGAUGUGCAUUACCAGGGUGCUAAACCUUUAUAAUGGGUUGAGGGGCACAUUUCUUAGCCCCAAACCAAUCUAAUCUCAAGUCUCUUUUGCUUGGCACCUCCUCCAAAAGGUUUAGUUGCAAAUGACGAGCAUGGGGCGCCACCAUGAACAAUAAGUUUUCAUCGAACACCAACCGCAUUGUCCCUUUCCCCAACCUUGAUGAAGUGGUGCCCGCCGGAUGGGAGGAUUUGAGGAAGCUGAGACUUAAGGAUGAAAUUCACCCGGAAAAGGAAACCGGCAACGAGGUGAAGGUUCUCAAGAUCAAGGAGGAAGAACCGAUAAAAGAAGGAGAUAACGAAUCCAGUCGAGAUGAUUGUCCUCCAAACCCUUAUUAGUUCAACAUCCGGGGAUCUAUUCCGUUAUUUCCUCUUGGGCCUCACCAAAAGAAGUGGGGAAAUGAACCACUUACCCCGGUGGAGAUAACGGAAAAGAUCAAGGAUUUGGAUCAAGUUUCUAAGGCUUAUGUGAACACUAUUGGAGAGGGUACUGAUUCUUAUUGGUUGAUGAGCAAAGACCUAGAAGCAAGGGCAAUGGUCUCGUCCAUAAGAUCGGACUCAUGGCUGACACCAUAAAUCAAAACAUUGCACAACUUGAGUUUUCAACCCAGGUUAUAGAUCAUCAGCAAGCCGUGAUAGAGGAGAUGAGGGAGCGGUUCAGGAACAUCUUCACCACCUGCAAGGAUACCCAGGAGUGAGCAUGAAAUGUUGAGUACUUGGAUCUCCCUGGCUUGAUUGUAAGCUUGGGCGAGAUUCACGUGUACUUUCUAUAUUUACUUUCAAGCAUUUCUUUUUAGCAAGUCGAGAUUAGCUCGCAGUUUUUAUUUUUCAAUAAAGUUGAACUAUUGAUUCUCUUUUGAAUAAGGGAUGAUUCUUCCCAAUGAGUAUUUGGAUGUCUUGUUGUGUGAGAUCAUUAUUGCUUUCUUGAGAACGUAUAGGAUAAUAAUUGUGACAUAAAUAGUAGCACAUAAUCACUUGCAUGGUGAUUAUAAGUACUCCACAUUGCAGUGGUGAACAAUGUAGGAGAUUGUUUAUACACAUACUACUCCCCAUGUCCCAAAAUGUAAGACAUUGUUUUUACACUAUGAUAGUGUAAAAAACCGUGUUAUAUUUUGGGACGGAAGGAGUAGUUCAUUGGAAGUUCAACUGAUAAAAGGGUAAGAAGAAAAAUGGAUAAAACAUGUUAAGAAAAAAGUUUUUUCUUAAAGGAGUUCUCCCGAGGGUCAUGUUUAGCUUACAUAUCACAUAAGAUUGAAAUGUGAGAUGGGCUCUUAAACAUGUUGCAAUGACAAGAGACAAAAUAUUUAAAGUAAAGAAUCUCUGAAAGAAAUAAAGGAGAAAGAGAUGCAACCCUCUUGUUCUUGCCUGCUUGAGACAAUGAUGAACUAAGUUAUGAAGUUGUUACCUGUCCACAAUAAAAUUGAGUAACAAUGUGUGCAUGCUGAUACAUCUCCAACGUAUCUAUAAUUUUUGAUUGUUUCAUGCUAUUAUAUUAUCAAAUCUUGGAUGCUUUAUAUGAAUUUUUAAAUCAUUUUUGGGAACUAACUAUUAACCCAGUGCCUAGUGCCAGUUGUUGUUUUCUGCUUGUUUUUGGUUUGCUAGAAAAUCAGUACCAAACAAAGUCCAAAUGCUACGAAACUUUUCGAUGAUUUUUUUGGACAUAAGAGACCCUAGAAGCUUUGGGAGGAGACCAGAGGACAAACGAGGAAACGGCAAGGCAACAGGGCGCUCAAGGAAGGCAGAACUACAAGUCUCUAGUGAAAACUAUGCCCCCCGGGUCUACUUUUAUCAUAUUAUAAAAUCCAAAAAUACCUUGCUGCAAUUUAUUUUAUUUUAUUUUGUUUUGCAGUUUAUUUAUCUACCUAUACAAGAUUUGAUCCUUGCAAGUAACGAGUUCAACGAGAUUGACAACCCUCUUGCCCGCACUGCGUGCAAGUAUUUGCUUUUAUGUGUGCAGGUGCUAUUCACGAGGCUUUGCAUGAUUCUCUUAUUAGUUUGAUAAACCUCUUGGUUCUCACUUGGGGAAAUACUUAUCUCUACUGUACUGCAUCUCCUCUUCGGGGGAAAUCCUGACGCAGCUCACAAGUAGCAUAUGCCUGCAUGAUCAUUGUCAUAGUGAGGAUGAAUUAUCAUUUGUAAUAAUUCUUUUAUUCCUAUUCGUUCCUAUAACAAAUGAUGCACUCAUGUUUCUUUCAUACCCGUAUCACAUAAAUAUCAAGUUGACCUUGUUCUUUACAAGCUACAGUACUUGCUCGGGGAUGAGCAAGACUUAAGCUUGGGGGAGUUGAUGUCUCCAAUUUAUGUGAUGAUUUUGAUAGUUAUUUUAUGCCUCUUACCGGUAGUUAAUGAGGGGAAACGAUGUUAGGCUGCAUUAUAAGAAGGGAAAGUGCAAUGUUUGCAGUAAAACAUUGGCACAAAUGGCAGAGAUGUGCAAUGUGUGUGGCACUGGUAUUCAACCAUACAAGGAUGAUGGCCAAGAUUUGAUGUAUUUGAGGCGAUGAUAGUUCCUUACGAUCACUAUAUGAUGAUGCUAUGUUUACAUUUGAUAUUUUUUUGAUUCAUGUUUGUUUCUGUAGUUUCUAACAUUGUGCAACCUCAUGAUCCUAAAAUGUAUGGUUCCAGCGGAUUCCAUGUUUAGCCCGCGGCCAUUUCAACAAGACUUUCAAGAGGGGACUCAUUGUGCGCACGACUGACGGAUGCACUACUGUUUCAAGAUCAUGGAUACAAACAAUGAAACGUUUCUCAACGGUAUUGGUUGGGAUUGUUAUGGGUGUGACUAUGCCAUACAACUAGGAGAUACAUUAACUUUUACAAUGGAGCCGCACCUAGACCAGUUCUACUUAAAGCAACCAGAAGUGAUGGAUUGCAAAGCUUAAUGCCAUGUGUACAUGUUACAUAUAAAUUGUUUUAGAUGUGCCUAGUUGUUCUUGGUUUCUUUAUUGACCAUUACUUGUACAACCAGCUACUUCUUUCAUGGCCGGAGGGUGGUAGUUUCAAGAAGUGAUUUAACACUAGGUCAUGCAAGAACGACAAAGGUCAAUUCAAUUUUGAGACAAACUGGCAACAACAUUGUCCAAAUACAUAGAAUUACAAAUACCAAUAUUGAUGACAACAUUAUCCUGAGUAUCGAAUACGAUUUAAAAGUUUUACCUGCAAUUAGGUUUGUGUUUGUUUCUCGUUACUUUUUGCUACAGGCCAUCCAAGUUGCCAUAGUCAGAGAAAUCGGCGUACCUCCAUCUGGUAGCAUGUUCUUUGCAAAAAGAGUAUAAUUGUGUUGCAUCGUACUAUACUAAGGACGAUGGGAAGAUAUACAUAUAUGGGGCGGGAUGGCACGAGUUUGCAGAAGUAGAUGAUAUUGAUACAUGCAUGAUAUGCCUGUUGGUGAUCGGGUGUGACUACGAUGAGAUGUGUGAUUCAAUUUGGUUUCAAGAAAUAUGAUUUAGCAAUAGGCAUCAUACGGAUAGCUACUCAUUUCAAUAACCCUAUUGGUCUUGUAAUCGAUAUAAAACUAUGCUAUCAUGGCUCUAGUGGAUUCGAUAUAGAAGUGUCAUUGAUAAAUCGUAAUGUUACUUACAUGCUCAAGGUCGUCAAGCGAUAUCUUCUUGAAUUUCUUCAAAACCUUCUUGUGGUCACACUAAUCGUAUGGCUUCAUCAGUUCUUGCUGUAAAAACAGUACUUGGUUGACAACAAAAUGUUGAUGCAUUGAAUAUCUACAAAAGACAGUGAACUAACGAUUGUUAGCUGGUCAAGUAUGUGUUUCCUCUUUGACCCAUCGGUUGCCAUCAUUGCAACAUUGCAUAACCAUUGGAAGUUCCUUUCAACCUCGCCAUUUGGCACAAGCACGUCAAUGAAUUCCUGUUCAUAAACAUGAUUUCUCCGAAUUCUAACCUUGGUUGAUGAUUCGGCAGUAUCAAGAGAACUGGCUCACCUUCCUAUUUUUGACCUCCUGAGCUUUGAGUUUGUCAAAUAAUCUUUGUAAGCAUCGCUUGCCGCGGUACGGUCAACGCUGGUUGGACUCACGGAACUUUGACCACCCAGAAUGGGCUGCUCUAGCUCUGAUACGCUUGUACCGGACGGGGCAACAAUUGACAUGCGCUUCAGACUCAAUUGUUUGGCUCCAGAUUUGAUACCACGCAAUCCUGCAUUCAGUUAGUUAGUGAACUUCAUAUAUAUGUAUAUGGAUAUUUAGUGAGAGAUUAUAAUUCAUGUUUUCAUGAAGUGUAAAUGAGGUAUAGUUGCUUUUUGGGUUCAACUUACGUAUUUUCGAUAGUGGCACCUCGUCACUGUUAACUUCAUUUUAGCAUCAACAUCCGAGCUACUAUCAUGUGACACAUUCUUGGCCUUUGGGGUUCCCACUAUGUCAGCUUCUUUGCCAUCAGCUCCAUGAGUAUUCAUCGGUUCUGGAGUGCCUUUGCUGCUGCUUUCAAUACAAUGGUUAUCUCCCCCAGUUCCAGCUUCACGUUUCUGAUGCAUGUCGUCUGCUUUGUUGUUUCCAUGUUUGUCAGAUGUGCCAACAAUUACAUUUUGUUUCCCAAUACAUGUGUUGGCUGGAACUUUAGGUGAAUUGCUUGAAGCCACAACACAAGUACUCUGGAUUGAUGAGAAUGUUGAAUCUGUGACAUUACAAGAUACAAGAUGAUCAACCUGUUGACACCCAAGCACUAUUUCAACAUCAUCAACUAAAGGAUUGGCGCUUUUUAUGAUAUAUGUUUUUGUGUUCAUCUCAUGCACCAAGACCUCUCCGGUCGAGCACUUCUCAAUCUCGUUGUGGAACUUGGCAACAGCCUCUUCUGCAUAAUAGAAAACAUUGGAAACAUUGUUAUCAGAGAUUUGGCGUUGUUUUGUCAUGAGGUUUGGGUUGUGUCCUCCACACGCAUGGCUGCUAGAGUUGGGAGCCCAUCAGUGACUACCUCAUUGACUUCUGUUCUCUCAAUACUGAAUUUGCCAGCAUCAUUGCUGCGCAGCUCCAGACAAGCUGUGCGAGAUAAUGUUUUCUCAUUUAUCGGGUUCUCCCAUCCUUCACCCUAUCCAUCAUCUGAAGAAUAUGGAUGGGCAACACAAGUUAGAUCACGAGCAGUAGCUACCUCGACAUCGCAUGAAGAACUGAGCAACCUCUCAUCGUUAUUGCUAACAGUGAGUGUGUCGCCCUUUCUAGUUGUUGACGGGCGAUCCGAAAGGUUUGCCGCAGCAUCCAACGAUGAUUUUGGUUUUCCUGCGUUAAAGCCAGCUUGUCUACAUAAACCUAGUAGAACAAGCAUGUCAACUCUCCUCUUCUUAUCUAAUUCUGUAAUUUUUAUCAUUAUUUCCUUUUUCACCUGAUCUUUCUCUAACAUACACUCCAUCUCGAUCCUCUCAAUGGAAACCUUCAGGUCAUAUAAAUGUGAUCACGCAUACAUUAAUUAUUUUGGUCUAACUUAUACUUGGCAAGACACAAAAGGCAAAACGACAUUCAGAAUGUCUAGGCUUGCCCCUGUUAGUUUUGGACCAGCGAGUUCCCCAAUCUGUGGUGUAGUUCGGUCUUUGAUGCUCGAAUCAUCCUCCUCAUCGCUUAAAUUGUUUGCAUUGAUAAGGCUACCCUCAAUAACGAAUACAUGGUAUUAGAUACAUGCUUGGGCAUUAUUCGUUGUCGAUGAAAUUUUUGAAUUCUUGCUGCUGGGCUAAAAUCAUGCCUGGAGUUUCCCAUGUAGACCAGAUGCAUUCAUGUCGAGCAUGUCUAGUGUCUCCAACAACUUAGUUGUUACAUGCUUGAAAUGGGGGACACCUUCAGGGACGACAUGCAUUGGCAAUCGUACAACAUCAAUGUCUAUGAGCUGUUCACCAAAUGGAAGAUAAAAAAUCCAUGUUACUAUUAUGAUAUACCAGUGUAAAUGAAUCAGACAUCUGUUGACGCUUGUAAUUUAAUAUGUCGUAGCUUACUAGCAAAACAUGCAAACAACCAUGCACAUUGAUGUUUGCAGCUAUGGACUCCCUGUACAUCCGUACAUCAUUAGCUAUAUAAUCUGCCACAAAUGUACACCAGUCCAUCUCAUGGACAUGGUUCAGGUUCUAAACAAUGGAUAGGAAAUUCCUGUUCAUCACGUGGCCGCUUGCUGGGGCAAGUUACACACACAAUAUGAUAAGUAGGAAGUACUUCUUGAACUUAUCCCUCUCCAUUAUUCCGGGCAGCUUGUCAAAAAAGUUCUUAACUAGCUUUCCACUGCCUCUUGACUCUUCUUUGAAUUCCUUUUCAUCUUCGGUUGGGUCCCUAACCUUGUGCUUGCUAGGUCUAUGAUGAGGCAUUGGAACUUCUAUCCUACCAUCGGGUACUCCAACAUCCUAUUGACAAGCUUCCUGACUUUUAUGUGCUUGCCUCUGAUUAGUAGUGUUUUCUUCUUCCAAUCAACCUGAUUAAUCAGCUAAAGAGUUAUGCCUCUUAGGAGACAGCAAUUUGGCAUAUCUAAAAGGUGAGCAAGCCCAAGCUCAACCACCCAUCCUCUCUGUGUUUCGUUUAGCGGUUUAACAAUUUCAUGAACUUUGUGAGCCGCACAUUUGAACUGAAUGCCCUGCAAAAUAUUUACUAUCAGUAUUUGUGUUCAACAGUCUAACUAGAAGCAAAGUGGAUAUGCUUAGUGUUAGGUUCUCUACUGGGCUUCCUGUCGCCGCCAUGCAAUGAUUUCCUGUUCCUCUUUGGUUCCACUACUUCCUCAUCUAUGUUGUAAUCUGAUUCUUCAGAACCGGAGCUGGACUCCACGAUCUUGACACGCUUCUUCUUUUCUGUCUUCUUCAUCUACUUAGCAUGCUCAAGUGUCAGAACUUGGGUCGUCUCUUCUAUCCUUCGACUACCUCUUUCUUUCCGUACGCUCGUUUUUUGACAUAUAAUCUCUUUUUCCUUUAGCCUUCCUAUCCUUGUCAAACCAUUCAUCCCUCAAACUUGAAGCAUGUCUCCUUGAUUUCCUUUUAAUAUUUUUGUCAAUAUCCUCACUAUCUGAAAUGGAUUCAGAUUCACUGCUUGGAAGGUCCUUCUUUGACUGUGUUUUUUUUGUUUUCCACAUGUCUUUACCAUCUUCACUUUCUGACAUGUUGCCAUGCUUCCUAUGAUGAGACUUGCUUCUUUUAUCAGGCUUGUAAUAUGCUUCCUCACUGACAGGUUCUCAUCAUAUUUCCUAUGUUUUAUUCUUGUUUUGAAGGCUUCCUUUCUACCUGCCCUCUUGCUCUGCUUCCUCCACUACAAAAAAAAUACACUUCCGUGAUGAUACGUGUUUGUCACAGUAGGUCGCAUUUUUUGUCAUGCAUGUACAUCCAUGACAAAUUUAUGACAAAAUUAAGAUAGUCAUACCUGUGCUGUCGUAGAAGUGUUCCAUGACAUUACCAAAAUUAUCAUCACGGAAGUGUCGACUUCCAUGACGAUUAAUCGCGCGUCACAGAAGUGCUUUCGUCAAGGGUGACCGACACGUGGCAUCCACCGUAACGGAACACCGUUAAGCUAUCGGGUCGGGUUUUGGAUCCGAUAACCCGUUAACAGCCCCGACCAAUGGGGAUUUUCCACGUGUAAAAUCAUCAUUGGCUGGAGGAAACACGUGUCGGCUCAUCGCUGGGACAGAUGUCAUCCACUCAUUGGACAGAAGGCUCCUAUGAUACGUCGACAUGUGGAAUGGCCCAACAGUGGCCCAUUCCUGUGAAAAGGCCGGCCCGUUUGACUUGGUCAAAAGCUGGCGGCCCGGCCCAUGGAAAGCCUGUUAACGGUCUGUUCGCAUAUAGCCCAUUUACAGCCCGCUAACCCAAGGCCCGUUACGCCCUAUUCGAAUUAGGCCCAGUAGCGUCAUCUGGGCCAUCCAAUAUGAUUCCAGCCCGUUUUCACUUCUGGCCCAUGUAUGGCCCACGAUGUCUUUCGGCCCAUAUGAGGCCCUAUGUAACUCUUGGCCUAUUAACGGCCCGUGCUAAAACUGGCCCGUAAUGAACAGUGUAUUACUUUACACCCAUUAACGGCCCGUGGUGAAACUGGCCUAUAAUGAACAGUGUAUCACUUUAUACCCAUUAACGGCCCGUUAUUCCGUUGGUCCGUUUCCAGCCCAUGUUAUCUUUCGGCCUUCUCAGAGCCCAUUUAUUCUUGGGCUAUUUUCCAGCAUUCGUUUACUUACGGCCCGUUACUGUCAUUUUCUGCUUGUGGGCCAAAUUCAGCCCGUCGUUACAGUCGGCCCGUUUGUGGUCCGUUAAUACGUUGGGCCGUUUUCAUAGCGUCAUCAAAUACGGCCUAUUAACGAUGGCCCGCUAUGGUCGGCCCAUGAACGGACGAUUCCAACUCUAGCCCGUUUACGGCCAGAAUGCGGUCUGUUUGGCCCAUGUUUGGCCAAUCGAUCAUACGGCCCGUAUAAGGCCCAUUGAUGAUACGGCCCGUAGAAGGCCCAUUGUUUCUACGGCCCGUAGAAGGCCCAUUGUUUCUACAGCCCGUAGAAGGCCCACUGUUUCUACGGCCCGUAGAAGGCCCACUGUUUAUAUGGCCCGUAGAAGGCCCACUGUUUCUACGGCCCGUAGGAGGCCGAGUGUCACUACAGUAAAUAUUAGCCCAUGGUUAUUGUGGCCUAGUUUUAAAAAAUAGGUUAUUGCAGCCACUAGCAAACCGCAGAAAAAGAAUUGCACUGACUACAAGCAAACAAAUAAACAAGACAACAAGGAAAUAAAUAAGCAAGCAACUUACACAAGGCUAUCACGGCUAUUACACAUAUUACAUCCACUGGGCAUCAAAGUUCGCCACCAGUGCAAAUAUAGGGAACACAGCAGCAUAUAAACGCCGCAGCAAAACAAGUCCAGAACUGAAACCACUUCAGAAGAGCUCAAGAAACAAUAUACGGGGUACCCAUAAUGCUGGCAAGAUGCUUAGCAAGCUUAUUAACUUUCUCUUGUUUGGCGCUUAAGUCCUCCAGCGCUUGCUGUUGCACCAGAAAGUAUGCAUCUGAAUUCUGCAGGGACUUCCUCAGUCCUUCGGCUUCCUGUCGCAUAACAUCUGAUCGAUGUCUUUCAACUUGAAGUUGAGACUCAAGAAGUCGAACUGAUUCAGGCAACGAGUUCGAAGAGCUGGUGCCAGAAGUGGUAGCCAGUAACUCGAACACUACAUCAAGACAGGACUUUGGGGUUGUCGCACUGUCUUCAAUAUAGUUUUUAUCAGCUUUCUUGGAGACCAACAGGGAUGUCUCACUAUCUUGAACCUUAUCUGCAUUACUUCCUUUACCAUUGCAUAACAGGGUACUCUUCUCCAAUAUUUUAUCCGCGUUCUAAAAGAGAAACAAACAAACACAUCUCAGGUUUACAAUGUAGUAUAUGAAACUCAUUUUGGUAAACCAGUUCAGUAGUAAGGUGGACAGGAUAACAGCAUGAAACAAACAUAUAUCUAUGUAGGAUGGUCACUGUAUGGUCUAUAUCAUUCUAGUUUAUGUUGCCAGAUCAAGAUAGAUACAGUUCGAAUCAUAUCUAUUUAAGACAAAGCAGCAUAGACAGAAUAUAAGUGUGGGAAACUACACAGCAAUAACAACACUUGUAAUGUGCAUGGCAUGAGAACAUAACUGUUUAUUCAAUUGAAACUGAAAUCAACAUAGAGCAAGUUACAACAGCAAACAGCCAAACACGUUGAAGAAACAGGUUUAAAACAUACAUGUUGCGCCAUUGGAGUUUCAAUUGCAUCCUUCAAAUUUGAAAUUAGUUGGUAUCAGUAAAUACAGUGAUGCAAGAGCAAAGUAGUAUGAACCAUAGCUGCGGAACCUGACGUGAGAACAAUUCUUCUUCUGCUUUAAGCGUUGACUUCGGGUUCGGAGUGGUGGUCCUCGUGAUUUGGGCACUGCAGUUGCCUUACUAACUGCUCGUGUUUGGGUGCUCUGUGGUGGAGACGGUGCUGUGUCAACGGGAACUGGGUGUCUAUCUGUUGGGGUUGGGGUUAGAAGGGGUGUAGCUGGUUCUCUGUCCAACUGGGUAGGGGUACAAUCUGCAUGAGUGUGGGUUAUGUGUGGUGGGGCUGGUUCUUGGGCAAGUACAACCGUGGUUCUAUCUGCACCGACAGGUAGCACGAUCUUUUCUGAAGACCAUGUUUUUACUCCCACAGAUACUGCCAUCACUCCCUCCAAUUGAAAUGGCUGAUAAACAAGAAAAGUAAUUGAAUGUACACACAUUGUAAGAUAGACAGGUGCAAUGGAUAGUAGGGAAGAAAACAGGGCAUGAAAUAAUUCACAUUUAUGUUGUCUAAGCAAACAGAAUAGCAGGACAUAAUUUCACAUAUAUGAUGGCUAAUUAAACAGGAUAGCAUGACACAAUUUCACAUGUAUGAUGGCUAACUAAACAGGAUAGAAUGACAUACUUCAAAAUAUGAUGACUAUGUAAACAGGAUGACAUGAUAUAACUAUACGAUGUGUCUAUUAAAGUGGUUGGCAUGCCAUAAAUCACAUACAUGCCGUCGAUGGAAACAUGAUGGCAUGAUAUAAUUCACGGAUAGAAUGACAUAAUUUAAAAUAUGAUGACUAUGUAAACAGGAUGAGAUGAUAUAACUAUAUUAUGUCUUUAGAAAAUGGGUUGGCAUGCCAUAAUUCAAAUACAUGCUGUCUAUGUAAACAUCAUGGCAUGACAUAAUUCAAAUAUAUGAUUUAUAUACUAAGGAAGUGAGCAGAGGGCAAUCGCAUAUAUGAUGUGUCAACUAAGGAGAUGGCAUUCAAUAUUGUGUAUAUGACGUAAAAACUAAGCAUUGCAAUACAACAUAUGCAUUAUAUGAGUAAUAUAACCCUGCCAAGUUUGAGCAUACACCUCAGGGGGAUAAUAGGACUGGUCAUCUGCCUCUGAAUCCUCCUCUGAAGAGCUAUCUGUAACCAGCAAGAUAUCUGCUUCAGCAGGUAGCAUUGUCUGCUCUGAAGACCUUGUUUUCACUCCAGAUUUCUCCAUCACCAAUUCAAAUGGCUGAUGCACAGGAAGAUCAGUUGAAUAUACAAACAUUGUCGACAAAAGCAAUGAGAAAUACAAAAAAAAGGACGGCAUGAUAUAAUUCACAUAUAUGACGCUUGCCUAAACAGCAUGGCAUUGCAUAAUUCACAUACAUAAUGCCUUGCAACAAGAUAACAUUGCAUAAUUCACAUAUAUAAUGUCUUGCAACAAGAUGGCAUUGCAUAAUUCACAUAUAUGGUAAUUAGACACUAAACAGGUGGCAUUCACACAAAGCAUAUCUAAACUAAGAAAAUGACAUAGCAAUGCAAGAUACCAUACGCACGAUAUGAGCAACAUAACCCUGCCAAGUUAGGGCAUGCACCUCGGGGGGGAAAUAUGACUGGUCAUCUGUCUCUGAAUCCUCCUCUGAGGAGCUAUCGGUAACGAGCAAGACAUGCGCUUCGUCAGAUAGCAUUGUCUGCUCUGAAGACCUUGUUUCCACUCCAGAUUUUUCCAUGACCGUGCCGAAUGGCUGAUGCACAGGAAGAGCAAUUGAAUGUACUAAAAUUGUUGACAAAUUUAACAUGUAAUAAAAAAUGAUGGCAUGAUAUAAUUCACAUAUAAGAUGACUGGCUAACCAGGGUGGCAUUGCAAAAUUCACAUAUAUGAUGCCUGGCUAGACAAGAUGGCAUUGCAUGAUUCACAUAUACGAUAAAGAAACUAAACAGAUGGCAUUGACACAAAGCAUGUCUAAACUAAGCAGAUGACAUCUUUAAUGUAUACAGCAAGCAAUGCAAGGCACCAUAUGCAUGAUAUUACCAACAUCAGCAUGCCAAAUUAGAGCGAAGACCUCAUGGGGUAAAUAUGAGUGGUCUUCUCCUUCUGAAUCCCCCUUAGAACAGUUAUCUUCCUCUUGAUUACGAUCCGAAAUGGGUGGAGGGUGGCUGCCUUUGCACCCACCAUGGAACGACGUCUGCAUGAAAUUUUAUUGCCACGCAAGGCUCGUCUCUUUUGCUCUACAUGAUCAGUUCCACUGUGUACAAUAACUGCCAUGAAUAGGAAUAAAACAUAGUGAGAUUAUGUAAGGAGUGCAUGCACAAAUCCAGAGUGAUGGUAGCAAACUGUGGAUAGACCCAAAACCAAUGAUAGCAGGCAGAUAAUAGCUUUAGUUAAAAAAUACAGAUAAUGGCUCCUUUAAUGUUUGUUUGCACCCAACAUGAAACUCAUAGUAGACACCGAAGAUUAACCAGAUAGUAGACAGAUAGUACUGAUUGCUGCCCCAAUAUGUACCCCACAACCAUUUAAAAACUCAAGUUUCAGCAUUAGUUUGGACCUGACUCGGAGUCUAAUAGGUGAACACGACGAUAAUGUAGCAUGUCAUCAUAUUAAGCGACGCAUAACGUAAGCAGACACGGAAGAGUGCGACCUCUCUUGCGGACCCGUGUAGUCCUCAAGGUCAUCUGCUCAGUUGAUGAUGGUAAUUCAGUUGCCGUGGCUGCCGGCGGCGGGGAAGAAGAUCUGAGGCGGCGAAAGACAGUCUGGAGAGCGGAUCCCUGCUGUGGUGAACCCUUCCGUCGUUGGAGCAGCUGAGCUGGGGUGGAACACAGCGCCGCAGGAGCAGGACAAACCACACAAGGUUUUCUUUGACACAUAUCUGUAACAGAAGUAAUUGAGUAAGGGCUUGUUUGAAUUUGAGGAUUCUAACAAUGCAGGGAUAGAAAAUAGACAUGAAUAGGAUAGGAAUGCACGUGCAAAACAGAGAAUUUAAAAACACAGGAUUUUUGUCAAUCUGGGUGUUUGAUUCACAACAAUUGGAAGAUCACAGGAUGCAAAAAAGCAUGGUGAGAUUAAGUCAAACCACAAGAAAAUGUACGGUUAUAAUUCUAUUAUGCUACUAUCUCUUAGUCUUGUGCUUGAUGAAUAGGAAUAUGAAAAGGAGGAGAAGUGGAAAUUAGAAUUCCUACGGUUUUUCUUUCAAGGAGACACUAAAGGAACAAAUCCUAUAGUUUUCCUUUGCUCCAUUCCUUUGCACCAAAUUCAUGAAAAGUAGUACCAUAGGAAACUUUCCAAUUCCGAUGAUUUUCAUUCACUUUUCCUUUCAAGCACUGGCGAUUCUAGUAGGCAGGCUUGAGCAAGGAAAAUCCUACACUAAAAAAAUGUUUUUGUGCUACUUCUAUUACUUUGGACCCAGGCCACUGCCAUACUAGCUCAACUCCCAGGCCCAUCGACAAAUGCACAGCUCAAACGCGCAGAGAUAAAUAAUGCUGGCGUUCAAGAGAGUCCAUCAUGGAUAGCUAAGUUGCCUGGUACCUCACUGCUUGUCAUAUAGUAGGAUAAAAUAAUCGCAUUUCCCGUUACUACGAGUGCUCAGUGGACAAUAUAUAUAACAUGUAGAGUAAAAAAGAGAUGCAACAAGUGUACAACCUCUUUGGCGAAGCCAUGUCGAUCUCAGCGUGAUUGGGUUGGCCGGUGAGGAUGCUCCGGCUGACUUGGCUGUCGGAGGAGGGGAAGAAGAUCUUAGGCGUCUGGAGAUGGAGCCCGAGGUACUGCUCCGCUGUGAUGGAGGGUUUCGUCGUUGGAGCAGCUCCGGUGAGUUGUACGACGCCGAGGCUGAAGCAGGACAAGAGAGACAACGAACAACGUUAACCUGAGUGGAAUUCUAAUAGCAUCUCCAAUACAUGACGUAAAAUACAUAACCACAAAGUGCUAGCUGUAAAAUACAUCAGCCGCUCAUCUCUGAACUUAACUGUCGAAACUGAACUUAACUGUCGAAACUGAAUUUUGUUGUCGAAACUGAAUUUUGCUGUCGAAACUGAACGCACUAGCAAGGUGAGGCUACACGUUGGUCGACUGACUUUUCAUCUCUAGUCAGUCAAUUUUGCAGCCGUUGGAUAUGAAAUCAAGGGCCUGCGGUUCAUCUUCAACCUCCACCCCCCUAAGCCGCCAGCCACCACCGGCCAAACAGCAACGCCCCACCGCCCGCGGCCGGCAGUGCGCCGCCCCGCCCAUCCCGAAAACACUCCCCACCGCCGGUCCGCCGCCGCCCCGGCCAUCCCUCUAGGCCCCCCGUGCCGAGCUUUUUCUCCGGCGAUCCCCACGCCACCGUCCCGCCAACGCCCCGCCACCGCCGGUGACCACCGCCCCCAUCCUGAACCCUAAGAUAGAUAGUGGGGUACCUCUCCGGCGAGCCCCCUCCCCGCUGUGGCUGGUUCUUCCUUCACCCCGGUGAGCCGCCCCACCCCCUGAAAAUCGACUGACCCAAAAGUCGAUUCAGUCGACUAAAGUGUAGCUAAAUCGGAGCAGCAUCGCAAGCAAGAGCAAGAGCGAGAGCAGCAGCGCGAGCAAGAGCAAUAGCAAGAGCAGACCAGGCAGGGGACCGAGAGCAAGAGCAGAGCAGCAGCGCGAGCGAGAGCUAAAGCAGCAGCAGCUCCUACUGAUGUGGACGUCGCCGUCGAGGGAGCGACGCCGUGGAGGAAGUGGCCGGCGACGCCGCCGUGGAUGGAGCCGCGCCGUGUCGGCUCGGGACCGAGCGCCGGCAGCACCGUGAGAUCGAAUCAAGAAGAAAAUGCGGCGAUAGUGUACAACCUCUUUGGUGGCGCCGAUUAGGCCACAGCUUCAUCCGAGGAAACGGUGAUGAUGAUGCUCUUCCGGUGGUGCAGGUGAAGACGGCGGUGUGGGAAUGGAGGUGGUGCGAAAGACGAGGGGAACAUCGGGGCAGCUCCUUGGAGGUGGAGGACGGGGUGGCUGAACCGGCGGGACGAUGAGAUCGACGACGGAUCCUCAUCCGGUACGGUGGAUGAGGGACGUCGAGGUGUUGCUGUGGACGACGUCGUCGGGGAAGAGGCUCCGGCUGGGUGGCCGACGGAGCAGGGUGUGGGGUUUCGUCGCGGGUUUUCGCGGCCUCGGUGUACGAAUGGGUGGGCGGAUGGGAUGGCAGUGGGGAACCAUGGCUUAGAGACGCGCUUGUCCAAAAUGUGGGGUAAGUUACGAAAGUACCCCCACCGAUUUGAGGCGGUUCUUUUGGUUCAGGGGUACCACGGGCAUUUCACGUGUCGGGAUUUCACAGGAGGUGGGAGUUUUCGCGCGCGUUGUAAUUUCGGAAUAGCAAGGCGCGGGUUGAGAUGGAGGGAGUUGUCGGAGCACAAUGAGACAAAGAUAUAUCUUAAAUAUUUCAGGCUAACAAGGCGCGGGUUGAAGAGGCGAGAGUUUCGCAGCACGAUAGACAGAGACGCUAGCUUAAAUUUUCGGCAUAACAAGGCGCGGCUUGAAAUUUCAGAAGAACAAGCUUAACGUGUACCCAAAAAGACAAUUUGCACCUCAACACGCACAACACACACACAAACACCAUUUAGACUAGAGUAAGGUAUACGUGCAUUGCACGCAUGAGAUUUGGCAACCAAAUUGUGAAUAAAUACCACAUUAUAGCAUGCAAGCUUUGAGUCAUAUAUGCAUGAUGUAGAUGUUCGUUUAAUUCUUAUAGUUCAUUUCAUUCAAAAUCAUCUAGUUUUUAUAAGAAAGCUAAUCUAUUUUAAGAUUCACGGAAUUGUGCGUCGUAAGACAUAAAGUAAAAACAAAUAAUGGCAAAUCAUGUAGAAAAACAUUUGGGCAAUUCUGAUACGGAAGAUUCUAGAACAAAUAAGAAGUGCUUGUGUUUUGAUGUUUGUGCAUUAUGCUUAAGUUCAACCAUGGAGUCUUCUAGAUUAUACAUGUGGCGAAAUCUGGUGGAAUCUAGAUGAUAUCCAACGGCCAGUAGUGCUCAAAUUUGCCAUCUUUGGACCAUCGGAUUCGCCUCAUCCAACGACCAUCUUUCAAAGUUAAAGUUACCCGCACACAACAUAAAAAAAUAAAAAAUAUAAUAUAUAUAUAGGGGUAUAGAUAUAGAUAUGUGAUGCGAAAGCCGCCCAUCAUCUCCAAUUAGAAUAUUGUGUCCAUGCAUGGAUGCGACGUGGCCAAAUGAUGUCUGCCAUCGGCAUCUCAAAUUCAAAUCAGUCUGACCUUGUUCAAUAUGUAUACAUUACAACAUGCUCGUUUCCAAACCACACCGCGCAGAUAUUUGUUAUAUUCAUGCAUGCAUGGGUUUCAAACAUCAAGAUCUCUUAUUCAAAUAUUUGAAUUCAACUUUACAUUGAUUAUGACCUCACCUAUUCUUUUACACCCACACAGUAGUCUUCUCUUUAUAAUUGUACCACUAACUUUCUCUCGUGCAUGCAUGCACACACACUACCAGUCGGCAUUAUCCAUCGCACGCAUGCAAUCUUUUUCUUCAGGUCGGUCUCCCAUGAAGGCACACACCCACACACAUCCCCCUCUCCAUCAUAUCGGGCAUUCUUUAUCUCUCACGCGUGCUUGCGCAACGAUCGAUGUUCCUCUACGUAUGUGUGUAUAUAGCUAGGUCUUUCAUAGUUUUCCACACAAACCGAUCAAUCGAUAUAUCCAGUGAGGUCUCACCCUCUUUCCCAUGUCCACAUCAAUCAAUCUAUACCUCUCUAUAUAGGAUUAACAUAUAUAGCUAAUACACCCACAUUAAUUAUAUAUCCAACGUCCCCCUCUCAUCAUCCAUGCCUUUUGCUUCAUCUCUCAGACACGUCCACAAUGGCGAAGACAGGGGGCAGUAAGGGCCCUGCCCCCUCCCCCCUAACAUCACUAUAUAUCGAGGCUAAUAUGAAUGUGAUCAUUAGACAAUUGCUGCUAAAAUGGUUUAAGUUCAUGAAUUGACCCUCGUCGUAAAGGAUUAGCAAUGCUUGGCCCCCUAGCUCAUUUAUUUUUCAUGGCUCCGCCAUUGCGCGCAACAGCGCACGUGUUCGCCCCCUCUCUCUAAAUAUCGAUCUCGCACUUGUACAUUCCUUCAUAGUCACCCUCCACUCGGCCCCUCGCACCAUCUUCUAGCCCCCCACCGGAUUUUGCCACAUGUACAAUCUAGCAGACUCCAUGGUUGAACUUAAGCAUAAUGCACAAACCUCAAAACAACAGUGGUUCUCUUUUGUUCUAGAAUCUUCCGUAUCAUAACUGCCCAAAAUUUUUUUCUAGUUGAAUUGCCAUUAUUUGUUUUUAAUUUAUGCUUUACAACGCACAAUUCCAUGAAUCAUAAAAUAGAUUAAGGGCUUCUUCGAUUCAGAGGAUUCUCAAAGGAAUUUUGGAGGAUUCUAAUCAUUAGGAAUUUUUCCUAUCUUGGUUAUUUGAUUCGUAGGAUUGUAAACCAUAGGAAUUUUUCCAUAUGAUUCAUUUGCACUAUAUUUCAUAGGAAACAUCCCAUCCACUCAAACCUCUUUGAAAGAAUUCUGCGUUUUUUCUAUGCACAAUCAAACACUCGUACAAUCCUGUAGGAUUCAACACGACAUAACAAAUCCCAUGUUUUUCCUAUUCCCACGUUCUUAGCUUUUUUAUAAAAACUAAUUGAUUUUGAAUGAGAUGAACUAUAAGAAUUAAACGAAGGGCUACAUCAGGCAUAUAUGACUCAGAGCUUACAUGCUAUAGUGUGGUAUUUAUUCAUAAUUUGGUUGCAAAAUCUGAUGCGUACAAUGCACGUGUACCUUACUAGUACGUCGAGUAUGUGCAAAACACGUAAAUUAGAAUAGUAAUGGCACGCUACACAGUGUCUCUCUUACAGUUCAUGAAGCCACGUGGCACAUGUGGAGGCGUUGUCGCGACCUCCUUGCGUGGAUUGAUCACAGUGACGUGCUGCUGGUUCCAGAAGAAUGUACUCGUCCUCCCUGAGCCAUACUGGCGGUACAUGCACGAAGCGAAGAUGUGCACGCACGCCACGCACACACUCAUUCCCUCGCACGCACACACGGGUACACGGGCGGACGCAAUUUUGUACCAAGAUCCACCCCAUGUGAUAAUUUGACGCGUGUAAAGUCGUUCACUUCAUUGAUGGUCAAUUAAUACAGCUUAUGCAAAUUGAGUGGACGUGAGGGCGGAAGGAAGACAUUAUUACUCCACUGCGCGCAUGCGAGUAGUUAAAUCGUGGGUUGCUAGUAGUACUUCCAUUGGUCUCCUUCGUAUUUUGUGCCAAUUUUUGACAGUAACAUAAUAUUUACGCAUUUGAGCAGUGUAGUACUUGAAAUUUAUGUUCCGCUAAACUCAUCGGGGGCCGUUUCGGGCCUCGAAACCAAAACCAUCAAUUAAUCUUUACCUUGUUCCCAUCACAUUCGAAAGCCUGCUCACACCUACUAGUACGUACCAAACCUGAACGUGUUCCCACUAUGCAGGUAUUAGUACUAGUGCUAGUACUUAGGUUAUAAAAAGGGGAACUACCUAACCGAAAAUUACUCUACCUUUCCUCCUCAUAAGUGCUUCUUCUUCGUCCGUCGUUGCCAUGGCCGGUGAGCAGAGCUCUAGGUCGAGAACUACUCGUAACAAGGGUGCAGCAACCAAGGCUGCGGAAAAAAAGAGAGGGCUCGCCGCCAUGCAGAGACCUCGAAAGAUCUCUCACGGGCAGGCAAUGGCUCCCAGGAGCGCCCUAGGUGCGGAGGCGAACAUGCCGAGCGGGUGGAGCUGGAGUCGUUAUCCCUCGACGGCAUGCCCGAUCAGCUCAAUAAGCAGAAGGAGUUUAUCCAAGGCUUGAUGGAGUUGCUGAAGGAGAGCCUCGACGACAUGCCCGCUGAGCUCAAUCAGCCGGGGGAGUUGACCGCCGGCUUGGUGAUGCUGCUGAAGAAGAGCAUUGCCUCGGAGAAGAAGGCGACCGGCGAAAUCCUGCGACUUCAGGAGGACAAGGCGAAGCUCUGCCACGAGAUCGACCUGUUGAAGGAGAAGAAUGCCGGCUGGAAGAAGCUGCAUGAGAAUAGUAGUUCCUCGAUGAAGAUGCUGCAGGCCCUCGUCAUGGAACAGAAGGAGGAGUUGGCGAAGCUCCGCAUCGAGCACCCGGCUGUUGUCAAGGUACGUAAUGCGGCCGUGGAACAGAUGAUGAAGGCUCGCGUCGAGAAAUCCCGCGUCAUGGACAGAAUGAAGAAAAUGGCGGAGGAGACGCGCAAGGAGAUGGAGGUCGUGGAGGCGAUGAAGAAGCAGUUACGACUCCGCGGCGAAUUAGAUCAUUUGGGGUGAUAAUAUUCCUUCUUCUUUUGCUCCUGUGUUUCAUCUUUUGCUUCGGGUGUUUCGCCGCACGUGUCACGUUCUCUGCGAGGCAUGAAUAGAACAAUGUUUUUUUUGAGGGAAUGAAUAGAACAAUGCUAACAAUGAGAUGACUAGCAAAUUAGAUCAUUUUUUAUCGCCAUAUGGCACUGGGCUGCCGUGUUUCGUGCUCCUCCGUCGCAGUACUACUCCAGUGGAAAACUUGAGUAUACCGCACGGUUCUUUGCUCCUCCUCGAUCAGGUCGUCGGCGCAUUUAUACGAGCAGUCAAAUCACAAGGCCCCGCCUUCCAGCAGUAAUGAGCCGUCAAAUCACAAAGGCCCUCGCCUCUCGUGAAACCGACCAAGCUAGACUGCCCCGCCCUCUAGCCUUUUAAAAAAUGUAUACUAUUGUACAACAGUAGUAUCGAUGGAUUGCGCAAUGGAGCAGAACUUGAAAUUAAAAAAAAGGUGGUACAUAUAGAGAGCGCUCGUCGCCAAAUUAUGCAUAUAGUACUAUUAAAAAGGCUAGUCACAAUAAUGGUGUCCAGCACAACCCAUCCCUCAAAUAAAACUAAGAGGGUGCUUGGAUACGUUUUAGUCCCAUGACUAAAAGUAGUGGGACUAAAACAUGCUAGCCUCACCCAUGCUUGGAUCCAAAUACUAAAAAGACUAAAAUCAAGUUAAUGAACAUUUAUUAUCCUCCAAACCCUCCAAUCCAUAACUCGCCUGUGUUAAAGGAGAGGAGUUAAAUGCGUAGAGAGAGGACUAAUCCAUAUUUUAGUAGGGGUACCCCUGACUAAAUUUUUUUAGUCUCAAGACUAGUUUUAGCCCCUCUGUAGUCAGGGGUGCUUGGAACUUUAGCCUCUUAAAGAGACUAUUUUUAGUCAGACUAAAAUAAGUCCCUUGGAUCCAAGCACCCUCUAAGCAUCCUGAAAUUCUUUGACAAAACUAAGCACCCUGAAAUUCGUUGACAACUAAAUUGCUGGCUAUAUGAUGUUUGCCAUAUAUAUUGUACGUAUAUAAUGUGAAGAAACGAGUGGUAGUAUUAUACCAACUAAAAGAUGAAAUGUAAGAAAUACUAGUAUGUACGUACUGAAGAGUUAAAGUAACGAGAAGAAACAUAACAUAGUUCUGCUGGGGGCUCAGCACAACACACCCCUCAAAUUAAAUUAAGCACACCUGAAACUAAACUUUGCAACUAUUCUGGUAGACACUGCAUUAGAACCACCAUGAGCAACGACACUGCCACCUUACUCGGAGUCCUCGUCCACGUCCUCGACUUCGUCCUUGUCCCUCUUCCUCUUGGCCGAUACUUCUUUGCUUGAACCGCACACUUGGCUGUUGCUCUUCAUCCAACCCUUGUAGAUAUUGAAGCAAAGGUAGCCAUCCAUUGCAGCGUAGUGGAUGUGGUCUAUAUCUAGUACAUUCUACUGCCAUGCAUGAUGAUGAAACGUCUAUGGAGGUUUCUCCAGUUUACCGUACGAAGGAUGAACCAUGGCUCCUGCCAGGGUCAGCAUUGAAGGCUGACGAGAGGACACCAGCCGAUUCUUCUGGAGGUCGAAGGUGUUGCCUACAACGAGGCCUAUCCGACGCAGGACUUCUUUGUCAUUACCAAAGUCUACAGUAACGAAUUUGACUAGGUUGCUCUCGAGGAAGUCGUUAAAAUCCUGGCACUCAACGUCGGCAUGGCAUAUGUGGUAGAACAAGCAUAUGUCAUGCACACAAACCUGGAUCACGGCGGGCUUCUUACUCUCUUCGUCCUUUAGAUCCUUCUCUCGUCCCAGGACUGUGGUGUACUCAACAUCUAGCCCAGCGACCCACUCAUCAUCUGAGUCUUCGAACAUGCGUCUGAAGCGAGAAAGGCAUCCUUUCACCGUCGCGGAAGAACGGGUGUAGAUGACGUCGAACUCAUCACCCGUGAUGGUUCUAACCUUGUACUCACCGCCGAUCGUGGAGAUUUGGGACGCCAUGGAUUUGGGAGGAGGGUUAGGAUUAGUGGAACUGCCGUAAUGUGAAUGGACGGGACGACUAGGAGCGAACCGCCGUAGUAUUGAAGGACGUGCGGGGACGAGUAGGAGCGAACUGCCAGCGUGCGAACGGCAGGGUAGUGGCUUUCCAUUCUCCCAUGAUACGGGCUUCCGAGAGCCCUUGGAUCUGAGAUCGAACGGUUGCAUGGCGUGAUUCUAGACCUAUGGGUGAAUAUCCUAUCCUGGAGGGUUAUUCUGCAAAUUUUCAGCAAAGCAUGCGACUGUUUGAUCUCAGAUCCAAGGGCUGCCAGUAGCCCGUAUCAUGGUCGCGCCUACCACGACCGUCGCGUCGCUCGCGCGGUCGCGCCCUUGGAGAUUUAACAUGGUGCGUUAGGCUAUCUAAUGUUGGCAUGUCAUACAUAGUCAUCACUUAGUCACUCAUACUACAACAAGGUUGGCUAUAAGUGUAUUUUUUUUACUCCUCUCUAUCUCUUUCUUCGUACUCCCUCCGUUCCAUAAUAUAAGAACGUUUUUGACACUAGUGUAGUGCCAAAAACGUUCUUUAUAUUAUGGGACACAGGGAGUACUAGUAUUUAUUGCAUUUGCCAAGGAGUGACCUCUUCCAAUGAAAUGGUGUUGCUAAGUUUGCUUCAUUUAAUUAGCUAUAGACUCAAAAUUGUCUUUUCACCUAGGUACACGUGCUUAGCACCGUUUCUUCCUUGGGUCACCAAAUUAGUCUCUCUCUUCUUGAUUAACUUGCCACAUCAGACUUUAUGCCUAUGUGGCAAGCUUAAGCACCUGUAGGAGCAAGUAAAAGUAAGUACAAUAGUGCGCUUUACAUGGCAUUUUUGCAUAUGUGGAUGAAAGAGAGGCAAGGAAAAAGUGGAGAAGUGGGCUCUCAUGCAAGAGCCAGCCUCUACUACAUGGUGGAGCAUUGGGAGAGGCACCUGUAUGGAGGUGGUCAGGAAUCGGGAGACUCACGCCGGUCGUAGCGCCGCAGUUAAAAUGAUAAUGGCAAGUUAAAUCACGGGGCCCCACCUGUCCAGCAGUAACUCGCUGUCAAAUCACACAGCCCUACGUUUGCCGCAGCCUACUCCCUCGUCUUCUCGCGUCUCUGUCGAACCGACUAGGCGGAACUGCCCCGCCGCCUACCGCGCAGGAAAAGCCCCGCCCUCGACUUUUAAAUAGUAUACAGUAUACUAAUUUUGUAUCCAUGGAUUGCGCCCGCGCCAUGGAGCAAAGCGUCUAGAAAACGGCGGUACACAUGUACGGAGUAUAUAGCACGCCCGUGGCGUUCGCGUCGCACCCCAGACGGUCGGUCGGUCUGGCACACUGCUCUCCGAAUGGAACGCGCGUCAUAUUGCGUUUGCACACACAUGUGGGACGGCAAUUGAGAACCGACCAUAGGCACACUCCCCGGCCCCGCAAGUCGGGUGACUUAAUAGAAGAGGGAGACGAGCGAUAGUACUAGAGAAGUGUUGUACUACGUUGGUGCCUGGACGAUCCCUACAAGACACGGAAGAUCAGUUCGUCCAUGCAUGUGACCAGACUCCAGCAGACACGCCUAGAUUGGCUAUCAUGUACAUAUCGUGCAGGCUGUGUUGUACAUGGCUGUAGUUGUGGUGAGAAAUCUAAAAAAAGGUUUCUUGUCAUCUCGCAAAAUUAGGUGUCAUGUGCUUCGGAUCACUGCGAGGGUUAAACAACGACAACUGAGUUGGGCUAGUCAUUGGGGGCACAUGCAUGAAAAGUGACUACUCGGCUGCCAUCUAGGUCAAGCCGGCUAUGUUAAUUAGGACAUCUAUUGACGGACCCCUUUUCUACGAGUUUAUCUUUAAUUUGAGCUUUGUUCCUCGUCUAGUUUGUCCGUCGGGAUUCAUGUUGUCUCCUUUGGGCAGUGAGGUUAUGAUUUCUUGUCAUGUGGCAUUUUUUCGUGUUAUAUGUUAUAAUCCGGCGCUUCAGAUCAAAAUGACGACAACUGGGCCUCCGGGCCACGUGCAUGAAGACUUCUCGACAGUCAUUGACGAGGUCAAGCCGGCUCCGGUAUACAAAAGAAAACUAGUACUACUCCACUAUAUAGGCAGGAGCCUCCGCGCUUGCUUGCUAGUGUUGCUCUCUUCACACUGUCUCGGCCUCUCCAGAUCUAAACACGACAGCGGUGGCCACACUCUCUCUCUCUCUCUCUGCUCACCGCUGGUCACAGAUCCAGCCGGAUCCUCUCCGCUGGGGAAGGUGAGAAGGUGCAACGUUCACGCGGUCGUCCUUCGCGACGGCUCUUACCCACUGCUGGGCGCGUCCCGAUCAGCCUGCCUUGCUGUUCUCUCCCAAGCACCGCUGGCGAGGGAGGGCCUCCGUCCCCUUCUUCCUCGCUACCGUAGUGUGGGCAGAUCCGGCCUCCCGCCGCCCACCUAGCGACAUCCCGGUGACCAUCAGGUAUAACUUCCUUCGAAACCGGCCUUGCUCUACUUCCCGAGCUCCUGACCUCGCUGCAUUUGUAUCUUUUACUAUUUCUCGGGCCCCCUCGUAGAUAGGAUCGAUCGGCUGUUCGAAAACCACCUAAUUUUUUUACGUUUAAGAGGUAAAACUAGUUCAUGCACUCGAAUCUAGUACUACUUGGUUCAAACAAGGAAGAAAGGGGGUGGGGGUGGGGGAGGAUUUGUUACCUGAAUCUAGGACUUGGUCGAAAGAGGAAAUAAUGGGGGCGAAAAGUAGCAGAGACUGGCUAUCCAACUGGUCUCUAGGUCUAAUAGGGAAAUAAAGGGAAACGCAGUACAAACUCAAUAUAAACCCGAUCUAUUGGUUGAAAAAGGAAAGAAAGUGGGUACUGGGGGACAAGUCAACAGAGUAAGUCCAGCACUAGAUUUGCUAGCCUCACACAGUUUAAGGUGGCUAUACCGAACAAAAAUGGGACCAACCCAGAUAUCCUGUUCUGAUGUUUGUUGCCCUGAGCCACUCUUAUGUAAUGCCACUGGUAAAAUGUAGCACUCGCACUGUUAAAAGUAAGGACACGUUAAACCAAUGUUGUUUUCAAUGUAAUGCGUCCAGUAAUAUGAAUCAAUGGCACUUCUUUACAUGUCCUGCUAAAAUUUCCCAUUAAGAUAAGUUGGUUCUUUUUGUUAGAAAUGCAACUGUCCUGGUCCGCCUACUCUCCUGUGCCCAAAGUAAUGUCGUAUUUAACGGUUGUCAUAGUUAAUCCUAAUGCCCACCUAAUAUCUAGCAAUGCCAGUGCUUUAGAAAUUGCUACUAUCCUUGUAGGAUUGCCAUUCAGAUAAGGAACAUGCUUCUUUUCAUUUGAUGCAUGUUUCAUCACUUGUUAGUCACCCUCUUUUCCACCUUUUUCGUGCAAACAGAGAUAUACAUUUCACGCUUGAUCUUAGUUGAACUGCACAAAUGAUAUCCAAAUUAUAGUUGAGCAUUCCAGGAGCUUCACAACCAACCUUGAUGUUGCUCAAUUUUAUUGCAACUAAUGAUGAAUAAGCUCUGUGGGUUUCGUUUUCUGAUGGAAAUGGAACCGGGGCUGGAGCCCUUUUCUUAAAUUUUUUUGAAGAAGCUGCUAGCUCACGGGACAUUGCUUCAUUUUAGGUAAACUGCACCAAAAGGUCCCAUGAAUUGAAUCAUCCAUGUUGGUGACUGAAAGAGCCAGCUUCAGCAUCCCAGUCUAAGGACCCCCGGCCUCCAUCCUUGCGACGCACGGUACACCUCGUUUGCCACCUGCUCGACCCUAGUGUCACUGAUAAAAUGAAGUAAUAAUACAGUUAAAAUAGAGCGAGUGUCAUCUCUAUCAUUUCAUUUCCAAUGUAGAUAAAGAAAGUGCUUCUCUUUGUUAAUGUAUGUUUCAUCAACUAGUCCCAUUGUUAAUGUUUAAGCGUUUCUGCAAACUGGGGUGCUUAAUUUUAGUUGAUAUGUACAAAAAUAGAGAUUCGAAUGUCUCAAGGCGCCUCCUUGUACUACCUCUAUACACUGAUGUUCAUCACUAGCAGAAGGUGUAUUUGGGAGACUUGGGACGAUGUCCAGUAUGAGGCGUACCGUAUGAGGCGUCGCAGGGCCCAUCUCGCCCUCGUAGCAUGGCAUAUUAUGAUACUAUCGCAAUAUUUUCUUCUAUUUAUUUUGUGUGUUUCAUCAACUAGUGCCACUAUAAUGUAAUCACGCUUUUUCAUUAUCUGUGCAAACAGGGUUAUUCAACUGCAUUUUGGUGGAAUUGCACAAAUGUACGUAUGGGACCGGCAUAUAUGCAGAGUGCGAGGUGUGCCAAGUAAAAAUUACCGACACCAACCAUGCUGCAUGCACGCAUUGGCAUCCACCACCACCAGUGGGAUGUGUGGCGCUCUCUAUGGACGGAUCUUUCUCGGCAGCAAAUCAUCUAACCAAAUACUAGUAGCUUAUAUUGGCAGUUUUCUAGGGAGUACUCUUUUCUGAAAGAAGCACCAAUCUAUUUUUCUUUAUUUGUACACAGUGUCACAACUUUGACCCAAAGGUCCAGAGCUAUUUCAGGGUGAUUGGCGUAGUACUCGGAGACUGAUUGUAAGCAUGAUUUUCAUUAGCUGUCACACUGAUUGUAAGCAUGAGCAGGUGGAAGAUUAGGUUAGUGCGAAGCUUACCUUAAACCCUACCGCCGCCGUUGAAACAAGGCGAGCAUCGAGGGAACCGUGGAGAACGGCGGGGAAGCGACGUCGCGCCAUCCGGCCUCCUCUUGUGAUGGGAGAACGAAUACUCCUGUGGCUCCGGCUGACUCUGCACCCUCACGAACGGCACACCAUACUCGAUUGAUUCGUUAUCUUCUGGGUGCUCGACCUUCGACCUGUACGCCCACCACCUCCGCCUGACUGUCGCCUCGGGCGAAUCUGUCUGCUCCAUCGCCCAGAGGAGAUACUCGAUGAACUCGGAGGACUGCGGCGUGACUGCCACCGAGGAGUACAUGUACAUCGCCGCCCUCAUCGCCGCCGUCUCGCUCUUUCGCAUACAUUGCCACAUGGCCCGCAUCGUCCUCGAAAUCUCCCACUCAUUGUCAAACAACCUAAGGAUCUCCUUCAACCUGGCUAACUUUGCCUGGUCGCCGCCGGCGAUCUACCUGAUUCGCUGCUGCAUCCUCUCCAUAGAUGUCCUUCUGAGUGGUCCGAUGCUAGCUUUGGAAGAUGGGAGGAGAGACGGUGGUCUUGCAAUAGAGAAGAGGGAGAGGCGAGACGGUGGUUUUGGAAUGGAGAUGAUGGAGACGAGAGGAGGUGGUUUUGCAAUGGAGAAGAUCAGAAGAGGGAGAGGCGAGACGGUGGUUUUGGAAUGGAGAUGAUGGAGAGGAGAGGAGGUGGUUUUGCAAUGGAGAAGAUCAGAAGAGGGAGAGGUGAGACGGUGGUUUUGGAAUGGAGAUGAUGGAGAGGAGAGGAGGUGGUUUUGCAAUGGAGAAGAGGGAGAGGAGCGUGCGGCAGCGAUUUAGGAUUGGACGAGAGGGCCUGCGCGCUGUGACUGGAUCAAAAUCAAAAUCAAUUUACCCUUCAAUUAAGAAAGCGACCCCACAUUAACUAGUCUCCCUUUUAUUCUGGGUCAUAAUUGACAAUGAUUUUCGCACAUAAAAUAUAUGUUAUACGUUGCAAAAAUAAUAUAAUUUGAAAGUACAUUAAGAUACGAAUCAAAUGAUACAAUUUUUGGUGACAUACAUUCACAUUUUGCUUGUCAAAUAUAGUACGUGGUCGAUGGAGGAGUACAACCGAUACGUGAGGAUCGCAGACGGCGACCCUGUGAAGCUAGCUAGGAUGUUGGAGAUACAGUCUUGGUUUGACAACAAGGACCAACUAGCGGCGACGGCGACAUCCAUGGCCAAAUAUCUGCAACAGAGCGAAAAGGCGGCGAUAAUCCCGGAGGGAGUCACGCCAGAGUACAUAGAGCUGCUCCUCUGGGCCAUGGAGCAAACAGAUUCACCGAAUCCGAUCGUGAGGGAGCGGUGGUGGGAGUAUCGAUCCAGAUGGAGCAUCCAACAGAGAUUGAAGGAUCGAGCAUCUACAGGGUGCCGUUUGUGAGGGUGUCCUGCCAGAGCGAGCCGGUGGAGUCUUCGUCGACCGAACCCAACUGCAAGAGGAGAAUAGCAGUUGGCCCGACGACGCUUCCCCGCCAUCGUCUCCCUCGCCGUUCACAUCGUCUCACGGGGCGGCUGUCUGCCGCCGAGGAAUAGGAGGGGGCUGCCCCCCCAGCCCAAUAGUCGGGCAGGUUGUGAAUUGUCAGGAGGAGCUUAGGGUUGUCAGUAUUUGCAGGUUGUGAAUUGUGUUUUGUGUUGUGUAUUUUGAGAGUACUUUCAGAUAUGAAUGUCUUUUGAAUUUUAGAUUUGCAGUAUUGAGCAUAUGAAGUAUUUUAUGAAUUCUAGAGAUCUAUUUUUAGCACUUAAAAAUGUAGUUUCAUAGGAGUAUAAAAGUGCAGAUAAUGUGAUUCUUAGAGAAGAAACUGCAAGUUUCAGUUUCAGAUAAGAAACUGCAAGUUCAGUUUCAUAUAAGAAACUGCAACUUUCAGAGGCAGAGCAUUUAUAUUCACAUGGCCUUUUCAAACAAGGUUAACAUCAUGUUGGAAGUUUUAUUCAUGGUUGAAAAUGGAACUACCAGCCAGUUAACAUCAUGCUGAUCAACAUUCAUGCAUAGCACAUCUUCAUAUGAUGCACAGUCAAAAUGCCCACACAAUGUCGAGUGUGCGAAACACAGAGAAAACGAGGGACAAAGUUUUGGCAAGUGUUGGACGUGGUUUUGGGCUGCCCCGUCUAGGCUUUGAUUUUUAACAUGCGCAGCCCACGACCUCGGAUGAGAGGUCCAUAGGCUUGUUUGUAUUUUCUUAGGGCCGUCAUGUAUCGACCGACCUAUGGACCUCCCAUCCGAGGUUUUAUUUUUGGCACACUACUAGGAAAAGGGCUAUAGAUGGAAUGGCCACUAAUGGCGCACCAGACAUGUGGUGCGCCACUACUAUAUAGCAGUGGCGCACCAUGUGCUGGUGCGCCAUUAGUGUGAAAGACACUAAUGGCGCACCAGACAGACGGUGCGCCAUUAGUAACAAAGUUUUUUAUUUUUCCAAACAGACUAAUGGCGCACCAGGGCACAGUGCGCCAUUACUAGUUCUAACUAGUAAUGGCGCACCAGCCACAUAGUGCGCCACUACUAUAUUUUUUUUAAUUUUUUUGCAAAACUACUAAUGGCGCACCAGGGUACAGUGCGCCAUUACUAGUUUAAACUAGUAAUGGCGCACUGUUCCCUGGUGCGCCAUUAGUGUUUUUUUGCAAAACUACUNNNNNNNNNNNNNNNNNNNNNNNNNNNNNNNNNNNNNNNNNNNNNNNNNNNNNNNNNNNNNNNNNNNNNNNNNNNNNNNNNNNNNNNNNNNNNNNNNNNNNNNNNNNNNNNNNNNNNNNNNNNNNNNNNNNNNNNNNNNNNNNNNNNNNNNNNNNNNNNNNNNNNNNNNNNNNNNNNNNNNNNNNNNNNNNNNNNNNNNNNNNNNNNNNNNNNNNNNNNNNNNNNNNNNNNNNNNNNNNNNNNNNNNNNNNNNNNNNNNNNNNNNNNNNNNNNNNNNNNNNNNNNNNNNNNNNNNNNNNNNNNNNNNNNNNNNNNNNNNNNNNNNNNNNNNNNNNNNNNNNNNNNNNNNNNNNNNNNNNNNNNNNNNNNNNNNNNNNNNNNNNNNNNNNNNNNNNNNCAGCAAGUGCGCCAUUAGUAACCAGAGUUACUAAUGGCGCAUUAGGUGGUGGUGCGACAUUAGUAACCUGGGACGAGCUAGAUAUUUUGGACAGCCACACCUACCCACUCACUUUCCCCACUUCAUUCUCUCCACCUCCUCCUCCAAGCUUGUCUCGGCUGCCUCCUCCUCCUCACCUCAUUUGCACCAUAAAUUCAUCCAAAUUAAGUGGUUAAAUUACCUUUUUUUUUGACAGGUAAGUAAGGGGGAAGCUAUCUUUAUGUUGUUCUCCCUCUCGAACAACGUGCACAUGCACUUUUUAUGGCCUAGCUUGAUCUAUGUAUGUUUGUGGUGUUGCAUAUGUUUGUGGUGUUGCAUAUGUUUGUGGUGUUGCAUAUAUGUUUGUGUUUGCAGGUACCGGUAUUUGAAAUGCGAUAGUUGCCAAUAUUUUGCCGGAAUGUUGAUUCAUUUCCAUUUCGGCGAGAAUUUUGGCAAUAUGCAUUCUUUUUGGUCCUAUUUUUAGGGAAAAGUCAUGCCAAAUUUUUUCUUGGUUCUAAAAUAUCGUUUUGCUCUACCCCGCAGGUGACCAUGGUCCGCACGAUGACCGAAGGCAUCGUGAAUAGGUUUUUGAGCUCCGCGAAGGCCGAGAUGCUUGAAAAGAACAAGACAGAGAUAAGAUGUCUGUGUCGAAGAUGCAAGCUGAAGAGCCUUAUUGCGGACCCGGAUUCCGGGCAGGUGCGGGACCACCUGCUCUUGCGUGGUUUCAUGGAUGGCUAUCAGUGGCAAGGUGAUGAAGAUGACUAUGAACUCGCCCAUGGGGGUCGGGCAAGAAAUGAGGAUGGGCAGCAAGACAACCACCGCGGCUCGGGUGGGCGAGAAGACGAAGAAUCUCCAGGACAUGAUCACGACAGUGAUGCUAUACACAGUCAUCAUGUAGAAGAUGCCGGACAUGAUGAUGAGGAAGAUGCAGGAGCAGACGAAGGGCAUGAUCAUGAAGAUGAAGAUGCCGGCGGAGCAGACGACGAUGGACCAUCGAUGGGCUGGGUGCAUGACCCUCAUAUUUAAGAGCUGCUUCUCAAGCAGACGGAUAACGCAAGAGCUGCCGCCCGAGAGAAAGCCAAGCUGGAUCAACUGGAGAUAGACGUGGUUACUCCAUUGUAUGAAGGAUGCAGGCCCGAGGAUACCCGCCUGAAAGUAACGCUCAUGGCUCUGGAGAUGAAGGUAAAACACAAAAUGACCGACGCAUGCUUCGACGAGAACAUGUCAUUCUGGCACGAACGUCUUCCCAAGGGGAACAAGUGCCCGACCAGUUUCGAGGAGGCGAAGAAAAUUGUGUGUCCUCUGGAUUUACUGCACGUGAAAUACCAUGUGUGCAUGAACAAUUGCAUCGUUUAUCAGGACGAGCACGCGGAGUCUACCAUAUGUCCGGUGUGCGGCGUCACUCGAUACAAGAAGAGGAAGAAAGCUCCUCGAAAAGUGGUGUGGUACUUUCCGAUCACUCCUCGUCUGCAGCGGUAUUUCGCGGACCCUAAGGUAGCAAAGCUCCUGCGUUGGCACGCGGAUAGGGAGGAGAAGAAGCGAGAAGAUGACGCAAAUGAUCCGGAGAUAAAUAAAAAAGACAAGAUGCUGAGUCACCCUAAGGAUGGGAGCCAGUGGCAAGCGUUGAACUUCGAACACCGAGAAUUUGGGAAGGAUCCAAGGAACAUCGUGCUGGGCGCGAGCACCGUUGGAGUCAAUCCGUUUGGUAGCCAGAGAAGCACACAUAGCACAUGGCCUGUGUUUGUGUGGAUGUACAACCUUCCCCUCUGGUUGUGCAUGAAGAGGAAGUACAUUCACAUGAGUAUGCUAGUUGAAGGGCCGAAAAUACCAGGGAACGACAUCAAUCUGUAUCUGGGCUGCUGAAGAGGAGCUAGACACGCUGUGGAAAAUGCCAGCCAAUACGUGGGACGCCGCAGAGAAAGAAUAUUUCCCUAUGAGAGCCGCGCUGCUCACGACGGUGCACGACUAUCUCAGUUACGGAUAUCUCGCGGGGCAGGUGGUCCACGGAUUUUCUGGAUGCGUCAGGUGCAUGGAUGACACAACGUAUCGCUAGCUAGAUAGAGAUCCCGGGUCUUCGAAAACCGUGUUCAUGGGACAUCGAAGGUGGCUUCGCGACGAUGACCCGUGGAGGAAACGCAAGGAUCUGUUCGAUGGUGAAACCGAACCCCGAAGACGCCCGCGUACGAGGAGCGGCGAGGAAAUAGACGAGCUGUUGAAAAAUUGGAAAGAUUGCCCACUACCGGGAAAGAAGCAAAAGGCGCCAGAGCCGGGAAAGAAGCGAAAGGCGCCAGAGCCACUGCUGAAGGUAUGGAAAACGAGGUAUGUUUUCUGGGACUUGCCGUACUGGAAGAUCCACCGUGUGCCUCACAGCCUUGAUGUCAUGCAUAUCACGAAGAACGUGUGCGAGAGUCUGCUUGGUACCCUGCUCAACAUGCCAGAGAGGACCAAAGAUGGGCGAAAGCAAGGGCAGACUUGAAAUCAAUGGGCAUUAGGGAGGAGCUUCACGGUAAUGAUGAUGAGGCGAAGCAGGACACGGAAAGUCGUCGCAAAGGCAAAAAGGCCAAGAUGACCGGAAAUGACUUCCCUCCCGCAUGCUUCACUCUAAGUCAGGAGGAGAUCGAUCAGUUUUUCACCUGCCUCGUAGGAGUAAAACUUCCUUACGGUUACGCGGGGAAGAUAAGCAGAUACCUAGACUCAGUGAAGCAGAAGUUCAGCGGGAUGAAGUCUCACGACUUUCACGUGCUGAUGAAGCAGAUACUUCCAGUUGCAAUCCGUGGGAUCAUGGACGCGCACGUCUAUGAAAUGCUAUUUGGCCUAUGCAACUUUUUCGACGUCAUCUCUCGGAAGUCGGUUGGCGUGAGGCAACUCCGAAGGCUACAGGAAGAGAUUGUGGUGAUACUAUGCGAGCUUGAGAUGUACUUGCCGCCCGCAUUCUUCGACGUUAUGGUGCAUCUGCUGGUCCAUAUCGUGGAGGAUAUCAUCCAACUCGGGCCGACGUUCCUGCACAGCAUGACGCCGUUCGAAAGGAUGAAUGGUGUCAUCAAAGGUUACGUUCGCAACAUGUCACGUCCAGAGGGAAGCAUAGCCAGGGGCUUUCUGACCGAAGAGUGCAUCUCCUACUGCACGAAUUAUCUAGGCAUCGAGAACCCCGUUGGUCUGCCCGUCAACAGGCACCUCGGCAGGCUCGCUGGAUGGGGUCACCGUGAGGGUCGCCGCGAAAUGCAUGUCGACUUCGAUGGUCGACUCGCCGACUUUGAAAGAGCAAACCUAGUCGCGCUACAACACAUAGACGUGGUCGAUCCUUGGGUGGUAGAGCACAAAACCAUUAUUGAGAAGACGUACAAUGACCGAGGCCAACAGAGGACGGACGGAGAUAUAAUCAAAGAGCACAACUCAUGUUUCAUGCAUUGGUUCAAGCAGAAGCUUCUGUCGUACCCUUUACAUGAGGAUUCUUCCGCGGAAGAACAACUCAUAUUCGCCUUGUCACAGGGCGCCGAGCACAACCUGAUGACGUAUGAGGCGUACGAUAUCAAUGGCUACACAUUCUACACUGAGGACAAGGACAUGAAGAGCGAUGGUUAUCAGAACUCCAGGGUAACGAUGGAAUCCUACACCGGUAACGACAAGGACAGAUACUACGAAAGGAUCGAGGAGAUCUGGGAGCUGAGCUACGCUGGAGAGAAGGUCCCGAUGUUCCUUGUCAGAUGGGCCAAGAGCGUCAUAAAAGAAGACGGUAUUUCACCACCAUGGUUAUACCCGAAGCCAAAUCCAAGACCGCAGGCGCGAACGUCACCGCAAAAAAUGAGCCAUGGGUACUGGCUUCCCAAGUGGACCAAUGCUUCUUCAUUACCGACCCGUCAAAGCCCAGUCGUGUUGUCGUGAGGAGAGGCAAAUGGAAGAUCAUCGGAAUGGAUGGAGUUACCAAUGAGCAAGACUUCGACAAGUACGGCGACCCGAAGAUGGAACAUGACGACGACGAUGAAGUAUCAGCAUACACGACAAGCAGAAGCAGGACCACCCUACCUAAAGGACGUUCGUUCAAGAGAAGAACUCCAUUUACGAAAAAUAAGGGCAAGAAGAUUGUGAACAGAUAGCUAGCUAAGAUCGAUUGUAUUUAAAUUGUAGCCUUCAUUUCUCGAUUGUAUUUCAUGGGCACUUUUUGAACUCAUGAAUAUUUUUAAAUUUCAUGGACACUCGAUCUCGAUACCCCUCCAUCUCGAUCGCUAUCCCACCUCGCAAGAUCCGGCCCCCCUCGCCGCCGAGCACCCCCCGCACCCUCUACCCCGCUCCACCGGCCGCCAUCGCCGACCCCCCGCACCCUCCCCCGCUCCACCGCCGCCGCCGACCCCCCGCACCCUCCCCGGCCCGCUCCACCGUCACAAAUGAAUGCAACUAAAAUUGCANNNNNNNNNNNNNNNNNNNNNNNNNNNNNNNNNNNNNNNNNNNNNNNNNNNNNNNNNNNNNNNNNNNNNNNNNNNNNNNNNNNNNNNNNNNNNNNNNNNNNNNNNNNNNNNNNNNNNNNNNNNNNNNNNNNNNNNNNNNNNNNNNNNNNNNNNNNNNNNNNNNNNNNNNNNNNNNNNNNNNNNNNNNNNNNNNNNNNNNNNNNNNNNNNNNNNNNNNNNNNNNNNNNNNNNNNNNNNNNNNNNNNNNNNNNNNNNNNNNNNNNNNNNNNNNNNNNNNNNNNNNNNNNNNNNNNNNNNNNNNNNNNNNNNNNNNNNNNNNNNNNNNNNNNNNNNNNNNNNNNNNNNNNNNNNNNNNNNNNNNNNNNNNNNNNNNNNNNNNNNNNNNNNNNNNNNNNNNNNNNNNNNNNNNNNNNNNNNNNNNNNNNNNNNNNNNNNNNNNNNNNNNNNNNNNNNNNNNNNNNNNNNNNNNNNNNNNNNNNNNNNNNNNNNNNNNNNNNNNNNNNNNNNNNNNNNNNNNNNNNNNNNNNNNNNNNNNNNNNNNNNNNNNNNNNNNNNNNNNNNNNNNNNNNNNNNNNNNNNNNNNNNNNNNNNNNNNNNNNNNNNNNNNNNNNNNNNNNNNNNNNNNNNNNNNNNNNNNNNNNNNNNNNNNNNNNNNNNNNNNNNNNNNNNNNNNNNNNNNNNNNNNNNNNNNNNNNNNNNNNNNNNNNNNNNNNNNNNNNNNNNNNNNNNNNNNNNNNNNNNNNNNNNNNNNNNNNNNNNNNNNNNNNNNNNNNNNNNNNNNNNNNNNNNNNNNNNNNNNNNNNNNNNNNNNNNNNNNNNNNNNNNNNNNNNNNNNNNNNNNNNNNNNNNNNNNNNNNNNNNNNNNNNNNNNNNNNNNNNNNNNNNNNNNNNNNNNNNNNNNNNNNNNNNNNNNNNNNNNNNNNNNNNNNNNNNNNNNNNNNNNNNNNNNNNNNNNNNNNNNNNNNNNNNNNNNNNNNNNNNNNNNNNNNNNNNNNNNNNNNNNNCCCCUGCGCCGCCGCCCCCGCACCCCGAGCCAGAGGAGGAGGACCAGGAGGAGGACGAGGAGGAGGUCUUCCUCUUCGACUACGAGGACCCGGACGAGCUCGGACGCCCUCGAGUCAUCCCUUCGACGCCCGCUGAUUUCCUCCGCCUCGGCCACCAUCGCCACCGCUCGACGCCGAAUUCGCGCCGCCUCGACUAGCUCCGGCUACCCCGAGUCGCCCUCGACCUCCCCAGUGAGCACCCGAGCCGCUUCCCCCUCUUGAUUUCCUUCUGAUGUGUUCUAGGGUUGGGGGUUGGAGAAUUUUGGACAAGUAGUUUACACUGGUUGUCAAGCUGUAGAGGAAAUUCAGUCAGUGGAUACGAAGGUAGAGAAAUAAUCCAGGACAAAGGUUGUACACUGCUGCUAAAUGAUGAACAUAUUAUAGUGAAAAUUCAGUUUGAUGCCAUCAAAUUCAUUUAUAGUGCCUGUUAUUCAGUUAUGACUCCUUCACUGAAACUGUAGUGUUACCUAAAACUGAGAUGUAAACUAAAGGAGUUUGUGAUUUGCAGAAGCUGUAGCAUACUCCAACAAGUGAUAAAUGCACUCAAAAGUUCACUAAGAAAAUGCAGAUGCUUCUCACUUGUUACUGAAAGUUUUCUGGAGUAGAUCAAAUUGCAACAGAUUAUUUGUAGUAGAUCAAACUGCAAUAGAUUACUCAAUAUUCUUGCCAUUUGUUGAUAUGUUAUAAAUAUUGACCAUAACUAAGAAUGAAUAUUGACCAUUUGUUGCUGCUAGCACAUGUUGAAGUGUACCUGAUGAUGCUUCUGUAGAAAAUUCAAUCUUCCUCCUCAGGCAUGUGUUGUGUGACCUGAAAAAAUAUAAAUGUGUUGUGUGCCAUGCGUUGGUAAUUCAGUAAAGUCAAACAAGCACUGGAUUUAGGCAUGUUGCUUGCUGAAAUUGUAGCAGCAACAACAACUAUGGCUGAAUGAUGAACAGGUUAUAGUGGUCAGAUUAGUUCAGCAACAACAACUAUUUUCAGUUUGUCUUAUGGGUCAUCUAAAAAAAUUAGCUCAACAAGUUGCAUCUGGCUUUUACAAAGUUGUUUUGGCUUAAGAGGAUAAGUUGUUGUAUAUACUGUCAUAAAGUUCAGCAAGAACAGGGCAUCAACAGUGCUACUCUAGUAUCUAGUUGGGGAUGGACAAAUGGACAGGGCAUCACUGUAGAUGUACUGCACAACAAACUAUUAGUCUUAGGAUUAGCACUCCUCAUAUGAGAUGAGAGGAUUUUUUUUAAAUGGCUUCUUGCAGUUUUGAAAAUUCAGUUUAUUCGGUUACUGAAAAUUCAGUUAAUUCAGUUAGGCACACAAAUUUCAGAACUUUUGUGUGCCCUAGUACUUGGUGUUUGUAGAAAACCAGGAGUGUCAAUGUGACUAGAAUUCACUUGUUCUUAUAUGGGUGAAACUUCACUUGUUUUUAGGCUAGUGCAGGGUGUUGCUUUAUUCUGUCAUCAUUUGUAACUAUGUCACAAAUAAAUUGUUCCUUCUUCUGUAUUUGACAAGUAAUGACUGUUGAUAAGCUGAGGCAUGGAUUAAGCUGUUUCUUUGCUGUAACAUACUGUAUAUCACUCCACAAUGAAAUACAUUACAUAUUGAUGUGCUUUGUAAAACUUGUUCAUGUACUGAACUACUAAUGCCUUGUGAUGCUCUGAAUUACUUGUGAUGCCUCUGAAUUACUUGUGAUCCCAUUGAGAAAGACUUGUAAAGAUGAUGAUCAUCUUUUACAGAAAACAAUUUCUGUAAACACCGAGAGGCCCUUGAGUUUGCUGGAAUGUCGAUUAACUUCCGUUCCGGCAAAUUCGGGUACUCCAUAUGUCCUAUUUUCAGCAAAGGUCAUGCUGAAAUUUUCCGUGAAUGUUAGCAUGACUUUGCUAAAAAUAGGACAUAUGGGGUACUUGUGACUAAUGCAUGGGCCGGGGUCUUAGUACUUAAUUAAGUAGGAUCAACUGCCCCUUUAUUCUUGCUGCAUUAAACCAUAGGUGGCAAUAGAGCCAAGUGAUUUGGCCCAACUUAGAAUUCUCCUUCCCAGCUUAGCUUUUAGGGUGCCUCGGUGUCGAUGAGAACCUAAAUGAUGUACGCUUAGGAUUUUAGGGUGCCUCGGCGUCGACAAACCCUAAAUGAUAAAAGCUUAGCUUUUAGGAUGCCUCGGUGUUGACAAACCCUAAAUGAUGAGACCAUGAUCUUGUUCCUUGACAAUAACCAACUUUUUGACCAAACUAUUUUCCUAUUUAGAGCGAAACAUGGCCCACAACGAUGAGGCCGGCGGUUCGGGCGGCAAGCAAUUCUGGGAGCUGUCCCAGGAGAUGGAGGAAGAACCACACCGCUAUGAGGACGCCGCCGCGGAAGACACCGAUCCUGACUACACAACCCCUAGUGGCGUCGGGGAUGACACCACUGAUGGUGCCGCCGAGGAUGCCACCACUGAUGAUGGCGGCGCACGCACAGAUGGCAGCCAACCGAAGAGGCAACGGAAGGACCGGCGCCCGAACGUGCUCGGCACCGUCAAGGAGGAAUUUACUGAAGUGAACUCCGACGGGCAUCCAACGGCGCCCAAACAAGUAGUCAAGGGGUACUCGGUUCAGCUCGGGUGCAUUCUCCGGAGCAGCGUCUCGAUCAACACCGAGAACCUAAGGCAUAAGGACCGAGGGAAUUUGCGCAGCCUCCUCUUCACGAAGCUGCAUGAACGAUACAAGUUCCCCGCUGAGUUUGCAAACACACGCCUCUCAGGGAAUAAAGUGAACAGUGCCGCCCUCACGAGGAUGAGCACGGCCCUGUCUACAUGGAGAAGCACGGUGAAGGCAAUGAUUGAAAAAGGUGAUAGUUAUGAGAAGAUCAAGGCGAAAUAUCCUUUGAUGAGCGAAGAUGACUACAAGGAGUUCAAGAUCAAGUGCGAGAGCAGCGCAACCUCCGAAUCAAGUCAGUGGGGGAAAGAAAUGCGGGAGUUGAACUUAGGGGUCCACCAACUCGGUCCCGGCGGUUACAGAGUGGCGGAGCCUAUAUGGGACAAGGAGGACGUGGAGCGUGCCGAGCAAGGCCUACCGCCCCGCUUCGAGAAAUUACGUGACAAGCAGACCAGGAACUUUGUCAGGGCCCGGUACAAGGAGGACCCGGUAACAAAGGAGCUUACCACGGAUCCGAAGACCAGGGCGCUUGAGCUUGUUCUGGUAAGGAAUACACCCCCGCGUAAUUAGCUGCAUAUGGUUGCAUUCUAAUUAAUGAAGCCAAAUUUCUAAAUGGUUCACAUUCCUUCUGCAGGAGGCUGAAAGCAGUAGCGCGGGGUCGUCUCAGAGCUCCCCUUUUGACACCCCUUUAAAUAGGGCGUUGAACGUAAUGAAAAACAAGGAUAAGCUCAGUAAGCCGUCGUCAGCUGGUCGUGUGGCCGGCAAAGGCUUGUCCACAAAAUGGUCGUCAUACUAUACGGCUGGUGGGCGAAAGGAGAAAAAGACCAGCUCGGAAAGCCAGUCGCGCGAGGUUCAAGAACUCAAGGCACAAGUGGCGCGGAUUCCGGAGAUUGUCCAAGAGCAAGUGCAACAACAACUGGGAACGACGCUCACCGCCAUUGUGCCUACCUUGAUUCAGGGGCUGACGACGUGGAUUGCGGGCGGCCAACAGGGGCCUCCCCCGGUUCCCAGCUUCACGCCCAGCAACUCGCACAACGCGCAGGCGGCGCCAUUGGUGUCUCUGGCGGAGGCGGUAUUCGUGUCUCCGGCGCCGGCACAGGCAUUGGAGCUUAAUGCACCCGGGUGUACGCCGGCCGGCACCUCGCCAGCAAGAGGCCCCUCCGUCAGUUGCACGCCCGCCGUUGGCGGUGCCUCGACAUUAGCCGAGCUCGACGGCAUCACGGUAACUAAGCCUCUCGGCCGAUGACUUCAUCUCCUUGCCUUUGACUGGGCAUCCCUGACGCCCUACAUGUUUUCGCAGGGCGCCGCCGACGUUCCUUGCACUCUCCUGCACUUCGUGGGCGGCGAGUUGGUCGAUGUCGCCAAGGGCAGAAUCGUUCAACUGGGCAACCGCGUGUUCCACGGUAAUCCGAUGCCACCCAGCUUGUAUAGGGUUGAACUGGUUUGGGUGCUGCCAGGCUGCGACGAGUUGUUACCUCCGAUUCGACCCGCUGGGGCCGGCGAAGAUGAUGUGAUGACCCUCAGCGCCUGCGUAAGCUGGCCCCUACUUUGGCUGAAGAGCCAGAUUCGUUUGGGGGCGGGGUACACCACCCCACAGACAAGACCGCCAGUCGUGCCAGCGCCAAGCCAUGGCAAGAACGCCGCAACGCUACCGGACAUGCCGGACAUCCCUAUGGCACAGGAUCCGGACAUGCAUAUGGCACAGGAUCCGGACGACAACGACAACGACGGCGGUAUAUUUUCCAAUGUCGAUAAGUACUUUGCCGAACAUGGGUACGAUGACGAGUUCUGCGGGCCUCCUUCUCAAGAACCCAACCCUGAAAAAGACGACCACGAUCUAGCUGGUACGACGGAGAAACCCAAUUGCAACAGGCGUCGUCUGGCGUUCAGUUCUCAGGAGACUCCUCCAGCUACCGCCUUCACCGAGCCUCAGAUAGCUGAGGUGCGAAAUAUUAUCAGCACCAACACGCUCAAGAAGGCAGUCUGUGAGCAGAAAUCGAUCCCAUUAUAGCAGAUCAGGAAGAAGGGACGGAAAUGAAAGACUAACAAGGGCGCCAGUGCGAGCCAGCCGGCACCGAGUACGAUCCGUGCUCAGGACGGGCCACCUUCACCUAAGGAUAUCUCGAGGAGGGUGCAUGUGGCGGGUAGGGCGAUGCUACCGACAAAUAUGCUCAAUGCUGCAACCGGUGCUAUGCGGAGUCUGCAUGACAGUGUUCUUUCUUUGGAGAAGCGGCGUCUCAGAGAGAAUGAUGUGGCAUACCUGGUUUUUGUGGCCAAGGUGCUAGAGGGCAAGGGCUUUGUGGAUAGCACCGUCGGGGGUACGAUCGUCCUGCGGUUUGAUGACAUCUUUGCUAUGCUUAACCUUCAUCCGCUGCACUACACCUUCGUUCGGCUGUUUUCGCUGAGUAUGGAGAUGCGGAUCAUUAGAGACAAGACCCCGGACAUUGUGAUAGUCGACCCCUUCUACAUGUGUGCCAAGAUCUUGGGCAGCGCUGGGGACCGGCAAGUCGCGAGUUCACACCUCGAAGGCGUCAUUCUGGCAAACCCAGAUAAGGAUAACUUCCUCGUGCCUUACUUUCCCGAGUAAGUCAUCUCCUAACCGCCCCGUAACAUAUGAUUUCUUAGAUUUCGAUCGUUCUUUUUUUUCUAAUAUUCCGUGUUCUGUGCAGUGACACACAUUGCACACUCAUCCUCUUAAGCCCGAAAUAUUCCAUGGCCACGUAUUUCGACCCGGACCGUGACUCCAAGAUAGACUACACAAAUAUCAAGAAAGUUCUUGAUGAUGCUCUCCCCGGCUACGCCGCAUCUGGAGGCACCUUUAAGAGGCCAGUUCGUAGGUACGGCAGGCACGUGUUCACCCACAAUACGACGUUCCCCUGCGUCAAGCAGCCGCCUGGCGGUCAGAAGGAUGCCUACUACGCCCUCCAUCACAUGCGGGCGAUCGUACGGGAGCAUAAUCACCUUCUGCUACCAAAUAAUCUCAAAGAUUGGGCCGCAAGCUUGGCGGCAAUCCUUCCAGGACGCGGACAUCCGACAAGAAUUCUUUCGCAUCCAGUCGGAGUUUGCAGAAAUCAUCCAUCAAGAUGUCCUUCGUACCUCGGGGCAGUUCUACCUCAAAUUUCAACCGUCCAAUAGUGAGAUAGACACAACGCUACAAAUGCAGGCUGACAACGCCCGCGACUUCAUGACCAUCAUGACAGACGGCGGCUUCAUCCACGCUCCAGUCCCAUGAGUCGAGUCGAAAGUAGUGAUGCUAUGUGUAGUUCUGAAACAUUGAUUAGCCCAUGUUGUAAUUAAACUUUAAUGAAUUUGUAUGUCUCUUUGGUUUGGACAGUCAUUCAACUUAGAUGUAAUCGAUGCUAUUUAUUAGUAGGACCAUGAAUUGUGCUAUUAAUGCCUUGCUUUUCUCUUCCGAUCCUUUUGUUGCAUACUUAUAUAUUGCUGAUGUAUUGUCUGUUGUUUGGCUAGUGCAUAGAGAUGCCGUCGUAUGUCAUGUACAAGGGUAAGGUUCCCGGAGUCUACGACGACUGGGAGGAGUGUCGGAGACAGGUUCACCAUUUCAGCGGUAACAGUUACAAAGGGUAAACCACUAGGGCGGAGGCGGAAUCUUGAUACGCGCGCUAUCUAGCGGGAGAGAGGAGGGAGCAUUGGAGGAACCGGAUGAAGACCAGUUUCAUCGUGAUGAUGCUCAUCGUGAUGACCGCAGCUCUCUUCUAUGUGAUGGUAGUUUAGAUGAUCGAUAUCGACUUGUAAUGUGAAGACAAACUCGCUACUUGCGGUCUCGAGACUUGUAAUGUUCUAUCUUUGUUCGGUCUUUUGAAUUCGGAGACUAAUAUGAUGAAUUGUAUUCGGAGACUAAUCUUCUAUUGUAUUCGAUGAAUCUGCUGUUGCUAUGUGGUGCUGCUUAUAUUCUGUCCAAUAAUAUAUUUUAUAAUCUGUGCAAAAAUCAGAAAAGAAAAAAAAAAUCCCUAAUAUACAUACUAAUGGCGCAUCACCCCAACGUGCGCCAUUAGUAUGCCAAAGGAUACUAAUGGCGCAUCACACCGCAGUGCGCCAUUAGUAUGCCAAAGGAUACUAAUGGCGCAUCACCCCGCAGUGCGCCAUUAGUAUGCCAAAGGAUACUAAUGGCACAUGACACCGCAGUGCGCCAUUAUUAUGGCAAAGCACAUGGGUAAAUAUGCCCCCCCUGGGAGGCAUACUAAUGGCGCACUGCCUGGUGCGCCAUUAGUAUACCAGAUACUAAUGGCGCACCAGUGGUGCGCCAUUAGUAAAAAAUACUAGUGGCGUGGUACUAGUGGCGCACCAGUAGUGCGCCAUUAGUAGGCAAAACUGGUGUGCCACUAGUAGGCCUUUUCCUAGUAGUGGCAGCCCAAUUUAUGUAUUUUUUUGAAGAAAACGCAGAGGUCUGUUCUAUUUUUCUAUAUAAGAAUAGGAACGCCACGUCCAACUUAUGUUUCCCUUCUAACUAUAUUAUAUAUAUUUAAAUUAUUUUAUAUGUUAUUAUAUAUUAUUUUUAUUGUCAUCAUAUAUUUAACACAUACUUACAUAUGUAAGAAAACAAUAUCCCACAUCUUAUCAACUUAUAAAAAUAAUUUCUUGACAAAUAAAAUCCUGGAUUGUUUUGGCACGAAAAUCCUAGUGAUUGUGUACAAAAGCUUGGUAAGAUUUAAGGACGAAUGUAAUAAUAUCACUUAUUAUUUAAAUAUAUUUAUAACAAAAUGCUCAGCCCCUUUUUAUUUUUUGAUAACAUUGCUGGCCCAACCCAACAUUAUAAUUAGAAUCAGCCCAGCAAAAUCGUGUAUUUCGAGAAAGUGCAAAUGGCCUGUAAUUCUUUAGGAAAUAAAAUAAAUGGGCCGCAUGGACGCUACAUUAUUUGUUCACCCAGCCCAGCUAAUGGCUGCAAUUCAAAAAAAAGAUCAAAUUGAUUGUAAAUUCUACCGCGCAAAAAAAAAUACUGUAAAUUCUGAAAAAAUGGGUUGAAUACGUGCCACAUUUUUGGAGGGACAAAUGUGGGCCAAUAGGUCGAAGACAACGCAAGUCAUUGUCAAUUUAGUCAACAAAUGAUUCUGACGUGUUAGCCGUUGGAUUUACAUCCAACGACCGGCAUCCAUCUUCAAUCUCUCGUCUUCUUCCUCCAGCGCCGCCGGGACCACCUCCCGCCUCCUGCUGCUAGCAGCUCUGCUUAGCACGCUUCGCUAUGAAGCGCUACUCCACCAUUGGCCAGGCCAUCCCUCCACCCCUCCACACCUCCUGUUCUUCUCCACCGACUGCCGAACCACACCACACUAGAACCAGUUAACCCUCGUACACCUCUCCGUCUGCGACUCUACUCCCGCGUCUUCCCAUCUCCGGCUCGUUGCUGUCCGGGGCCUCGCCGUCGUCCACCACCUUGGAUGCGCUCGGCGCGGCGUGGUCAACGUGGUCAACGAACGACACCAUCGGAAGUAGACUGUGCGUGGAGAGGCUGACAGCUGUGUCCACGGCCGCACACAAGGAAAUGCCUCCUUAUUACGCGCAAAGUAAUGAUUCCUCCACCUGACAUCUGGGACCCACCGGAAGGGCCUCUGUAUUUUGCGAAAAUAACGUGCCCCCCGCUGACGUGUCGGACCCACCAGCUAUCUUCGCACGCAAGGAAGUGUCUCCUUAUUACGCACAAAAAAAUGAAUACUCCCCCUGCCAGCUGGAACCCAGCAUAGUGGGAGGCUGACUUGUGGGCCUACCAAGUUGACGGGGACGGAGGGCUUUGUCAAAUUAGUUAAUAUGAACGAUUCUAGCUCCUGUUACCGUACGAUGUUCAUCCAACGGCCGUAGUGCUUCUUCAACCUCUGGUCUUCUUUCUCCAGCCGCCCAAACCAGCGUCGGUCGUGCCGCGUGCUCCUGCCUCCCGUGGCCGGCCGUGAUGCCACGGAGGCCUCACCGCCCCCUACUACUCCCACCGCUGGCCAGGCCAUCCCUCUACUCACCCACACCCCCUGUUAUUCUGCGGCGACAGCAGCCUCACACCGCAGCCGAACCAGUGAACCCUCGUACUCCUCUUCGCAUGGGCAUCCACUGCUGCGUCUUCCCCGGCUCCGAGUCGUCCCCUUCCUAGUCCUCGCCGUCGUCCACCGCCGUGGUGCUCUCAGCGCGGCGUGGUCAACGUGGUCAAGGAAUGACUUCCAUCGGAUGUGGACUGUACGUGGAAAGGCUGACAGCUGGGUCCACGGCCGCAGCAAGGAAGUGCCUCCUUAUUACGCGCAAAAUAAUGAUUCCUCCACCUGACAGCGGGGACCCACUGGACGGGCCACCGUAUUUCACGAAAAAAAGUUUCCCCCUGACUGCUGGGACCCACCAGCUACAUCUUCGCACGCAAGGAAGUGCGUCCGGGCAAAAAAACGAUUCGCCCCCCUGACUGCUAGGACCCACCAGCUACAUCUUCGCACGCAAGGAAGUGCGUCCGGGCAAAAAAAAAACGAUUCGCCCCCCUGACUGCUGGGACCCACCAGCUACAUCUUCGCACGCAAGGAAGUGCGUGACAGUCGGGACCCACCUGGUCGAAACGUACGUAGCGUUGUCAUUCUGGUCGCGAACGUGUACGUACAUAUAUACUGGUGGAUGUAGAGGCGCGCACGUGUCGUAGUAGAGGUGCGUACGUGUCGUAGUAGGGGCGCGCACGUAGCAUGUACACGUACGUACAGCGGCCAGGGUGCAAGAAAGAAAAUAUGGCCACGUAUGUGUACAUACGGGCGGGGUCUCGAACGCCUACUCGCGCAUACGUACGGCCAGGGCUCGUGUACAUGGCUGGGUCGGAACAGAGAAACAGUGUCGUCGUCGUGUUCAUGGGGAGGCAACGGAAUGCGUCAUGUUCAUGGGGAGGCAACGGAAUGCAUCGUGUUCAUCGGGAGGCAACGGAACGCGUGGGAGCCAACCGGCUGGGUCGGAACCGAAUGCGUGGUCAUGUUCAUCGGGAGGGCUUGGACGGAACAGGCGAUGGAAACGAGGCAUGGCGUACCGCAAAACGGAGGAAACGGACCUCCUACAUUCGGAACGGGGUCCUGUUGAUCGGGAGGGGUGUGGCGUACCGCAAAACGGAGGAAACCGACCUCCUACGGUCGAAACGGGGGUCCUGUUGAUCGGGAGGGGUGUGGCGUACCGCAAAACGGAGAAAACGGACCUCCUACGGUCGAAACGGGGGUCCUGUUGAUCGGGAGGGGUGUGGCGUACCGCAAAACGGACGAAACGGACCUCCUACGNNNNNNNNNNNNNNNNNNNNNNNNNNNNNNNNNNNNNNNNNNNNNNNNNNNNNNNNNNNNNNNNNNNNNNNNNNNNNNNNNNNNNNNNNNNNNNNNNNNNNNNNNNNNNNNNNNNNNNNNNNNNNNNNNNNNNNNNNNNNNNNNNNNNNNNNNNNNNNNNNNNNNNNNNNNNNNNNNNNNNNNNNNNNNNNNNNNNNNNNNNNNNNNNNNNNNNNNNNNNNNNNNNNNNNNNNNNNNNNNNNNNNNNNNNNNNNNNNNNNNNNNNNNNNNNNNNNNNNNNNNNNNNNNNNNNNNNNNNNNNNNNNNNNNNNNNNNNNNNNNNNNNNNNNNNNNNNNNNNNNNNNNNNNNNNNNNNNNNNNNNNNNNNNNNNNNNNNNNNNNNNNNNNNNNNNNNNNNNNNNNNNNNNNNNNNNNNNNNNNNNNNNNNNNNNNNNNNNNNNNNNNNNNNNNNNNNNNNNNNNNNNNNNNNNNNNNNNNNNNNNNNNNNNNNNNNNNNNNNNNNNNNNNNNNNNNNNNNNNNNNNNNNNNNNNNNNNNNNNNNNNNNNNNNNNNNNNNNNNNNNNNNNNNNNNNNNNNNNNNNNNNNNNNNNNNNNNNNNNNNNNNNNNNNNNNNNNNNNNNNNNNNNNNNNNNNNNNNNNNNNNNNNNNNNNNNNNNNNNNNNNNNNNNNNNNNNNNNNNNNNNNNNNNNNNNNNNNNNNNNNNNNNNNNNNNNNNNNNNNNNNNNNNNNNNNNNNNNNNNNNNNNNNNNNNNNNNNNNNNNNNNNNNNNNNNNNNNNNNNNNNNNNNNNNNNNNNNNNNNNNNNNNNNNNNNNNNNNNNNNNNNNNNNNNNNNNNNNNNNNNNNNNNNNNNNNNNNNNNNNNNNNNNNNNNNNNNNNNNNNNNNNNNNNNNNNNNNNNNNNNNNNNNNNNNNNNNNNNNNNNNNNNNNNNNNNNNNNNNNNNNNNNNNNNNNNNNNNNNNNNNNNNNNNNNNNNNNNNNNNNNNNNNNNNNNNNNNNNNNNNNNNNNNNNNNNNNNNNNNNNNNNNNNNNNNNNNNNNNNNNNNNNNNNNNNNNNNNNNNNNNNNNNNNNNNNNNNNNNNNNNNNNNNNNNNNNNNNNNNNNNNNNNNNAACGCUCACUGUUCAUCCAAUCGAUCGGCUUCAGUUAGCAGCAGUAGCGAAGGAAUCGCUCGAUUGGGUUGAGUUAACAACCAUUGAUCGAUCGCUCAGGUUCAGUAACGCGUAGCCUACAGUGCAAUCGCUCGGGUUCAGUUAGAGCCGAACGCCUCGCUCGGGUUCAGUUAGAGCCAACGCCUCGCACACACGCGCGUACGUGUACAAGAGAAACGCGCAUCGCUCGGCCCCCGACCUCCCACCGUAACCGGGAACUCCCCGAAAUUUCCCUCCCCCUCGCUUCUACCACGGUUUUUUCCGUCAUGGACGGCUCAAAGAAUGUCAUGCAGCUGCGUCUCCGGCCCGCCCAGGACGAAAAGCCCAUUUUCUUUCAUCAUUUUUUGUCAUAGAAGUAGGAGCCCACCACAUCUAUGAUGAUACCGGGUUUUGUCACAAUUAUCGUCAUAGAAGUGUCAUAUGUAUGACAGAAAAAAAAUUCGUUCGGCCCAAAAUGUCACGGAUGUGUCUUUUUUUUGUAGUGCUCAUAUCAUGCAUUGGUUCUUCAGACUCCGUUUUCUCUGAUUUGCUGUCAACUAUAUCCAUUUUACGUCUUUUUGUAAACCUAGGCGAUCUACGUGUGCAGAGCUCAUUUCGAGAUAGGUUUUCUUUGUUUUCUAGGGUAAUCAGUUAAUCUGCCAAUCAAACCAUACGUGAGAAAGCUGAUAUAAAUCCUCACAGUGCUUAAAUGACAAAAAACACAAAAUUUCCUCUAUCUCAAAUGUAUAAGCACCGUAUGAUAAAUGCCCCUCCGAUAAAGAUAAUAGCAAUUCUAAACUAGACAAGUGGUAAACAACAACAUGUUGCGCUCAAACCAAGAUCUGUUAUAUGCUCACGAUACUCCGGGGAUUUCUUAUAUAUAUGUUGACAACCAUGAAAUUCCAGCGACCAUGGCGCAUAAGAAACUGCAGUAAUUGAUGGGACUUGUUCAUUAUUUAGGAUUCGAGUACCGCCAUCUAACAAAUAAAAAGCAUCAACAUAUACUAAAGGGCUUCGACUUUGUUACCUCUAGCCCUCAGAUCCAGACUAGAACCUACGACACCGAAAGCUUGGAGGUCCACUCCAGUUCCUUCCGGUGGUGCGGUUGCGAAACAGCGAUGGCGGCAGUGAGGUGUGGCACGACGGACCGGCCCAAUCUAAUAGUUCCUCGAACAAAAACGGAGAGGCAGGGGGUGAAAGAUGGACACAAUGAGUUAAGUACAGGUGUGGGCUCCACCAUAUCUAUUGUGUGUGAAUACACACAACAAAAUAUCAUUCGGCCACUGUUCAUACAUUGACUACGGUACAGAAAUGAUUUAUACGCAUGAAUCGCGCGAUGGAUCCGACGCCCUUGCGGUACCCGGUAGAAACCGGUACCACUAGUUUUCCAUUUUGCAUGGAGGCUGCUGAAAGCAACCGGUUUCUCGUGAUGAGAGAUGACUAUCUUCACGAGUUGUUCAUGGGGAGAAAACAAUGGAAUGAUGAGGCUUGAAUAGCUGGGAAGGAGAGAUUGCUUAGGUAUCAUCAAACCGGCUCUACUCUAAGAAGACUAAUGGAGAACAACAAGAUGGCGGAGAAGAAGAGCGAGAAGGAGGCAUCAUCUGAGAGAUUGCUAAAACUACAAGUUUUUUUAACUCAUGUUCUAUCAAUUUUGAACCUAGGACUUCGAAUUUUCAAGCCCAUAAGCUAGCUAGAUAUGGUGUCUCUCUGCCUGUAGGGAGACUGAGGGAGUCCUGGACUAAGGGGUCCUCGGGCGUCCGGCCUGUUAACCAUGGGCCGGACUGGUGGGCUGUGAAGACAUGAAGGUCGAAGACUGUAUCCGUGUCCGGAUUGGACUCUCCUUGUCGUGGAAGGCAAGCUUGGCGACCGACUAUGAAAAUUCCUUCUUAUGUAACCGACUCUAUGUAACCCUAGAUUCCCCCGGUGUCUAUAUAAACCGGAGGGUGUAGUCCAGAAAGGAUAUACUCAUUACCAUAGUCAUACAGGCUAGGCUUCUAGGGUUUAGCCAUUACGAUCUCGUGGUAGAUCAACUCUUGUAAUACUCAUAUUCAUCAAGAUCAAUCAAGCAGGAAGUAGUGUAUUACCUCCAUAGAGAGGGCCCGAACCUGGGUAAACAUCAAGUCCCCUGUCUCCUGUAACCAUCGACCUUAGACGCAUAGUUCGGGACCCCCUACCUGAGAUCCACUGGUUUUGACACUGACAUUGGUGCUUCGUGACACCCCAAAUUUUUGGCCUUGUUUUACUUAUUAAAAUAUUGCCAGGAAAUAAAACUUUUCCAAUUGUCAAGUUUUACCUUUUGUGAUUUUGGAUUUUUGCCUCUAGGGGAGAAAACUUCAAAGGUAUUGUUGGACUUGAUUUAUCUCUAUAAUAAAACAAUUAUUUAUCAGUGGAUUCAAAAGUUGCAAGAUUUAUUUCUUCAAAAGCUUUCCUUCUUUAAAAUGAUUUCUUUUGCAUUUGGGGCCUAUUUGCACUACAAUCUCUUGACAAAUGCUUUCAAAAAUUCCACCAAAAUUUGGGGAUGUCAUGUGAUGUUUCCACAUCACUUUUAUGCAAAAUUAUCUUCUGGCCAUUGGAGAUUUUGAGCUCUACACCAAUUUUUCCAAUCUGGUCCAGUAGGUAUUUUUGCACUGCAACCCAUUUAAAUAUUUCUUCAAAAAUUCUUCCAAGUGUUUGGAGAUGACAGUGGAUGCAUACAAUUCAUCUUCAAGCAAAAACCCAAUGAUGUUCUUUGGAAAAUUUGAGUGGAUCAACCUCUUUUGCAUUCUGGUCCAAUUUGGUGAUUUGUACUGCAACCAUAUUUUUCCUUGCUCUAGUGACCCUGAGCUUUCUCCUACUUGUAGCCCUCCCUACCAAACUCUUAAGUCCGGGAGAUUGGGCUCAUUGGAGGUUUUGAAGUGCAUACUCUAAACCCUUCUGUUUUCUGUCCAGAACUGGAGUUUUGCAAAUCUUGCACUAUCAACUUUCUGUUUUUGCCAAACUAAGCCUACCACCAUCUCCUGCAUCUAAAGAGACACUGAUCUAGAGAUUUUGGCCACUCCAAGAGUUGCCUAAGUGCACUUGGCAUUCUGUCGAACACCUGGUGUGCACAGUCUUUUUUGGCAAGCUCUCUGGUUUGCAUUGUGGACUUGUACCCUAGCCCCUUCAACCUUGUCCACUGAGCUUCGAGCCACCCCUACCCUUGAUCUGUGCUUUGCCAUCUCCACCCUCGCGCUCUAGACCACACUGGCAUUCCGUCGAGCACCUGCCGUGCGUGCUCUGGGCGCGCCCAGAGCGCACGUUUUGCACGCGCGCGCACUACGCCGACACGCCGCACUGCCGCGCUCGACGCGACCCGACCCUGGCCCCUUCUGCAUCGCUGAGCCGCGCACUAGCCGCCCCCUGCUCCACGAUACCUCUGGCCCCCUGCUGCGCCGCUGGCCGCGCCCUUGGCGGCAUGCCGGCGUCGGCAGUGGAUUCCGCCGCGGACGGCGCCGCCCAAACCACUAGCGCACGCCAGCUGCCCCGGAGCACAGGUCGUGCUUAUCCUCCUGCUCGUCGGGACGCUUUCGUCGCCGCUGGGAUGGCCUGCAACUACAGCAAUGGCUGUCGCCGACGAGCUUAUCUUCUGCCGCCACGGAGCCCGCCUCGUCGCGGUAUAAAAAGGAACCCCGAGCCCCUCCGAGCGUUCAGGCGACAUCAGACUUCUCCCGUAGAGCUUCCCGCACAGUAGAUCGACCGGAGAGGACCGUUUCCCCCAACUCCGGCCAACUCGGCCGCCGCCAAGCUCCGGUGCGAUUCGUCACAACCAGUCGCCCUUUCGCCCAACUAGCGCCACCAGAAGCUUCCCCGUAGUCUUGCGGAGCUGCCCAGCUACCCAGCUUCGGUCGGAGACCACCGGAGCACAAUAGUCACUCCACCACCGUAGCAUCCCUCCGCCGCGGAGCUCGCCGCCGGCGAUUCCUGCCACCUCCGUCGACCCUUCAACCACCCAGAGGAUCGCCUCGGUCUUGCCGUCCCAUCCCUGCCUGCAGAUGCCCUCAAGGAGCCGCCGCUCGUCGCCGGUGAUCGGCGGAGCCCCGCCACCGUUCGGGCAGAAGAAGGAGAUGGAGGGAAGAACGGUCAAACCUGACCAGUGGGCCCUCGGGACCCACUGUCAGUGACCCACGCGGCCGCCCUCUCUCUGCUUAAGUGAAGGCGCAAAACCCCGCGUACGUUUCUCUGCUGCGAGAGUGUAUUCCCCGCGAAGCGUUUUCCUUUUUUUGGUUUUAUUUAAAAACAGAUUUGACCAAACUUUGACUGGCUAUAACUUUUAAAAUAAAACUCCAAAUGAGUUGAUUCUUUUUCCUACCUCUCUCAAAUGUCAUCUAGUUUAUUUUAAGAUUUAUUUCAAAAAUAUUUGAGACAGGUUUUGGUACUGUGUUUGAAAUAUUUGUAUUUGUGUAUUUUUUUUUGCAAAAUAGGAUUUUUGGAGGAAAAGGAAAGCUUCCAAUAAGUGCAUCCUUUGCAUACUCUUGAAGGCAAGCAUUUCUGAACUCUGGCAUAAUAUUUUGGGAGGUGUUUGGAUAUGGUUACAACACCUUUUGACUUGGAGUAUGUGACAGUUUAUGUAUCGGUAUGGUCUCGUGCACGAGUGCACUUUGGAGUUGUUUGUGGCCAGCAAUGGAUACACUAAGGAUUUGGAUCAUCCUCGUGAGCUUCCCUUGCACACCGGUAGGAGGCCGGGAAAGUCGUGGUCUUGGGUAGACGCGAGCUUGUCCCAAAUCCCUCGUUGAGACGAGUAUGCCCGGCACAGCAUGGUGAGGCUCGAGGAGUGGUGAUUUAUUUCACUAGAGGUAAUAUCGUUGGUGGAUACUUGGACCACCUGAGUCGGUUGUAGACCGAGUCUUGUUCAAUAGCUUCCUUUUGUCGGUACCACCACUUGUCCCUGCAGGGGACAGGGUAUGGUUCAGUAGGUUGUCAACCCCUUUCCAAAGCACACACCGUACAGAGAGGCCGUGAUGAAGGUCCCGUGGCCACAGAUUAAAGCCUGUCAUUCGGUCCGGGGGCAUGGGUGUUUCCGGUUGGAGCCGAGGGGGGUUGCUCCCCUAGUUUGCGCGCGGUAUAAAUUCUGUGAUCCCAUGCUACUCGAGGUUGUAGCCUCCCCACUCAGAAUUUUGCUUGGCGGGUGUCGUGGGUGAUUCCAGGCACUAGUGGGUUAAGCUGGUGUGUGCAGGUCAGGCGUGUUUUCAGUCAAAAGACCGUAGACGGAAUUAGUCCCGAGGGACUGAGUAAUCCCGUUACUCGUGGAAAAUGGUACUCCCUCUGCAGAGGAUAUAUCCUGUCGGAUAGUCUUGUUCUUGAGUAAAGGACCACAGCCUAAGUUGAGUCUAUGUAACGGUAUUCGAAUGGAGAACGAUUUAACUAGAGCUUAGUAACGGAAUUCGGAUGGAGAUACGGCUUGACUAAAUUAUCAGUUUUCGGAUGGAGAAACGACUGUAUUAAAUUUUGUUUAUGAUUAUGGCACCUUUGGUUUAUGAUCUUUAUUGUUUUGGACUAACCAUUUAUAUUACGCACGUUAUUGAGUAUCCCUGGGAUGGUUCUACCUCCUGGAUAUUCACUGUGAUUAUUCUCUUAUAAGCCCUUUCUGUGGCGUCGCUCAGACGCCCGACUGCGGCAUUAUUAUUGUUCAUUUACCUUUUAUAAGCCCUCUAUGUGGUGUCGCUUAGACGCCCGACUGCGGCAUUAUUAUUGUUCAUUUACCUUUUAUAAGCCCUCUAUGUGGUGUCGCUCAGACGCCCGACUGCGGCAUUAUUAUUGUUCAUUUACCUUUUAUAAGCCCUCUAUGUGGUGUCGCUCAGACGCCCGACUGCGGCAUUAUUAUUUCUGCAUUUUUUCGCUCGAGGAGUCAUUCAGACACUCGUUUGGCACCUGUAUUAUUAUUCCGCAUUUUCCGCUCGAGGGGUCAUUCAGACACUCGUUUGNNNNNNNNNNNNNNNNNNNNNNNNNNNNNNNNNNNNNNNNNNNNNNNNNNNNAGACGCCCGACUGCGGCAUUAUUAUUGUUCAUUUACCUUUUAUAAGCCCUCUAUGUGGUGUCGCUCAGACGCCCGACUGCGGCACUAUUAUGGUUCAUUUACCUUUUAUAAGCCCUCUAUGUGGUGUCGCUCAGACGCCCGACUGCGGCAUUAUUAUUUCUGCAUUUUUUCGCUCGAGGAGUCAUUCAGACACUCGUUUGGCACCUGUAUUAUUAUUCCGCAUUUUCCGCUCGAGGGGUCAUUCAGACACUCGUUUGGCACCCAGUAUUUUAUUUUGGUAUAUUUUUAGCCGUAUGUGGGCAUCUUGGUCUUAUGUAUUUUUCGUGACAGGCGUGUGAUCAUCUAAUUAAUUCGGAACAUGUUUUUGAUUUAUUAUACCCGUGUUCUUAAUGUUUGCGAGUACAUUCAAAUGUACUCACUGGCUUGUCCCUGGCUAUUGUCUUGGCCAGAUUUCCUUGCGUGGAGGUAUGCAUCGCGGUGACAACCUCGAAACCUAUGCUGUUGACGUUUGCAACCUCGCGAAGAUAGGAGUUAUCCUGGUCAGCUGUUCUUGUGGGAAAUGGAGUCCCAUUGACGCAGAUGUACCCCAGUCGCUUCCGCCCUCAACCAUUAGAAAUCAAAUGUUGUACUCCUAGGCCUAAAUGGUCUUGUACUACAUAUUUUGUUCCUUGCUUGGAAUUCUUGUAUCAAGUUGGUGCCUCGUCAGCUAACAGUAAUCCUGGGGCUGGUGAGCACACAGGCCGUCUUUCUGGGAACUUAUAUCCCAAAAAUCCGGUCGUGACAGACUUGGUAUCAGAGCCAGGCUGACCAUUGGCUAAUCCUAUCUUAGCCAGGUCAAUAAACCUAGGUUAACCCAAACCAUCAGACCUUAGCCUGACCCCGGUCAAGCUUCCCGCAUAAGGUAGCUCCACAGUGACCCGACGCCCUUUUCGGCGGACGGUGCCCAACCUAUCAGCCUAGCCCGUCGAUCACACGCCAGUGACCGACACCCAACCCGUCUCUAUCGCAAGCGUGUGGAGGAAGACUCCGUCCCCUUUUCCUAUAAAUGGGGCACGCUAGCCACAACACCGCACAGCCUCUUCCUCCCAAACCCAACCACGAUGCCUGGUCCCAUUAUUCACAAUGAGACCACAGCGACCAACCUAGGAGGUUUUGUGACCGUACUCGCAAACCUCACCCGCCGUGCCUAUGCGUUGGAGGAGCCCCCUGAGUAUGUUGUGUACCAAGGACCCAUGUACGGUGAAAGCCGUCAGUACUGGGCCACUGUGCACAUCUACGGUAGGGGUCUGUCGCCAGAACGCCCCUACAGGUUCACUGGAAGGACCACUUCCUUUGAGCCACAAGCCAUCCAACUGGCAGCCCGCGAAGCUAUAGUUCAACUCCGGCACUUGUCGCCCAGAGUUAACUGUCGCUCGUUCCACUACUACCCCAGUCGUGACGGGUAUGGUAGGCCGCCCCAAGUCGCCAACGGAGACCACGAGACGGAUCCGACGCUAUUGCAUCUGGUGCGCUAUGUAAGCACACUGGAGCAACUGUUCGAUCAGGUCACUCUCGAUCUGAUCGCAGCUCGUGGAGAGCUGGGUCGCCGAGCCCCGGCGAGAAGAGAAGCGGAGCCCGACACCGACAACCCAGUCGUGCUGUUCGGACACCCGAUCGAUCCCUCGAGGUCUGCGCCAGCCCUCAACCAGAGCACCUUGGUGACCCCAGAAGCGCUUCGUCGCCUUUUGGAGACCCAUUCCAGCGGGAUUUGGGCCAACAACCCCCGGGAUGGUCAUCACCUUUUCCCCGACCCUGCAGCACCUCAGCCUCAGCCAGCAAAUCCCGACGGUGAGAACCAUGGAGAAGCAUCGGCGUCCGCAAGGCCAGCUCACCUAGACAUUAACGAAGUAGACUAAGUCGCUCAAAAUUGUAUCGAGCCUUAGUUUUCCUACGCUUUGUAAUGUGUGGCCUUGUACCGCUGUUGUUGCAUGCUGUCUGUUUGAGCGCUCCUAUUUUUGGAGUAGUAGCUAUGCAUGUGUACGUUGGCGUACAGUUGCAUUUUUAUAUUUCGGGCACAACUGCCUAGACCAACCCCGUCGGCACCCACGGUAAUGCGUCCCAUUUAUGGGACGUAUAUAUCUGUAGCUUUGACCUGAGUACAGGAUCGUCAGCCAGUUACCUUUCACCCCGGUAGAUAUCCCAGCCCCGGUGCUUUAUAAAGGCCGCUUCGUGACCUUGCCGAGCACCCCUCACCUUUGUGCGCAGCACUCACAGCCAUUCCUUGCCAUGUCGACCCCCAGCAUUUAUCUGAGAACCCCAGACGCAACCCCAGGCAGCUUUGUCAAAUUAUUCUGGGACUUUACCUGCAGUACUAUGAGCGCCACCCGUCCACCCCAGUACGAGUUGCUCAAAUCGAGGAUCACUCCUUCCACCUCGAAAUAUUGGGCAGUGGUGCACAUCCCUCCCGCCUACCCAAACCAAGAUCCCACGGAAGUCGCCUUCGUGGGGAAAUCCAUGCCGACUCCACAGAUGGCCAUAGAGGCUGCUGCGUACGAGGCGCUCACUCGCCUUCGAUUCGCAGUACCCUAUGCCAGCGAGCGAGGAUACUAUUAUUUUCCGGGUCGUGCAGCACCAGGAGAAGUUGCAUCUUUUCCCGGUGGGCGCAUUGAGAGAGAUCCAGUACUGGCCAACCUUGCCCAGUACGUCAUCGCUCAGGAGCGUUUAACUCAGCGAGUAAUGGGUUAUCUCCAGAGCCUCGCUGAUUUAAAUCCUCGGAUCGCUAUUGGCAGACCACUGAGGCCUGGCCAAGAAGGGCGCAUUCAUCGUCUGGUCAACCCGCUUCCCCCGAUAGAACAGGAGUGUGCCCCAGUGCCAGAGGCGUUUUCUCAGGACCCUGUCGCUUUACCGUUUCCUUUGUAAACACAUCUGAUGUAUUUAUUGUCCAGUACUUGUAUUUAUGUGUUACCGCAUGUUCGUAAAAUCUUUGUGCAACGGAUCCGACUUCCUUUAGUUACUGUUUCGUGAGCAGUUUUGCUGCUGUUAGUUUGGUUUUAAUUAUUUUCUUCUCGCAACAUGUUUUCGAGGGGAUUUCUUUUCCCCGAGUUAUUGCCGCGUAUAUAUGCAUUUUCUCAACGUGGAUCUUUAUUCGCGCAACAUCGUUACUCUCAGCAGCCACCACUCGACCUCGAGCACUAUUACAAAUUCUUGAGCACACAAUUUUUGCGCCUAUCUAACCAACCCCGAGGAUACCACAGUCUCAGUAAGAGAGAUGUGUGAGUGUCCCUUCACGCGCGAGCUGCCCCAGCACUCCGACAGCAGUCAGCCCCGAUGCCGCGCCUAAUCCACGUGAUCGCCGCCACCGCGAAGAGCUCACACUCAUGCGGCAGCAUCACGACGAUCAUCCAGGAUCAUCGCGCACAGGAGCACGGAGGACCCCAGCAGCACCGCCAAGCCUCCACACACCAGGACCACAUACCAGUCCGGCAUUGCCUCCGCCAUUAGAGCUUUGGCUCGAGCUCCUGCCAGCAGCUAUGGAGGAGAAGGAGGAGGAGUGGAAGCGAGGCCGGGUGUGAGGAAGAAGAGAGGAGCACCGCGAUCAUUUUAUAGCCCGAGAUCGGUGUACGGUGGGCGAGGUCCACCACCGCCACCCGACGCUCGACCGCCGGUGUUCGGAGGCGAGUCCGCAAGCAGUGCCGACAGCCCCUGGCCCGCGAGGUGAGUGCACGCUGCACCGGCAGCUAGCACGCCGCGCACUACCACGGUACGGCCUCGAUGCCCUACGAGCUAGGCAUCGCCGGUGGAGGAAGCGCGGGAGAACGCGCGAGAGAGAAGAGAGAGCCAGAGGAAGGAGAAGAGGCCGACAGUGGGCCCUGGGCCGACCUGUUAGCCAGAGAGAGCACUGUGCUCUCGGGUGCGACCAGUGUAUUUUUGUAAUUUAGAAUUUAUUCUAAAUUACUGUAUCCCGUAGAAAUAUCUCGUUUUCCCUAACCGUGGAUUUUCCCACACUGCGCCAGUGUAGCACACUGUGGUUUUACACCACUUAUUGCCCUCUCACUGUAGCCAUCUGGUUUUUGUGCAAUUGAAGGAUUUCUUUGAUAAAAACAAAUUUAUUUCAAAAAAAUUCUUGUUCAAAACAUCUUUUAACAAAUCUCGAGGACGAGAUUUUUCUUAAGGGGGGUAGUGUUGUGACACCCCACAUUUUUGGCCUUGUUUUAUUUAUUAAAAUAUUGCCAGGAAAUAAAACUUUUCCAAUUGUCAAGUUUUACCUUUUGUGAUUUUGGAUUUUUGCCUCUAGGGGAGAAAACUUCAAAGGUAUUGUUGGACUUGAUUUAUCUCUAUAAUAAAACAAUUAUUUAUCAGUGGAUUCAAAAGUUGCAAGAUUUAUUUCUUCAAAAGCUUUCCUUCUUUAAAAUGAUUUCUUUUGCAUUUGGGGCCUAUUUGCACUACAAUCUCUUGACAAAUGCUUUCAAAAAUUCCACCAAAAUUUGGGGAUGUCAUGUGAUGUUUCCACAUCACUUUUAUGCAAAAUUAUCUUCUGGCCAUUGGAGAUUUUGAGCUCUACACCAAUUUUUCCAAUCUGGUCCAGUAGGUAUUUUUGCACUGCAACCCAUUUAAAUAUUUCUUCAAAAAUUCUUCCAAGUGUUUGGAGAUGACAGUGGAUGCAUACAAUUCAUCUUCAAGCAAAAACCCAAUGAUGUUCUUUGGAAAAUUUGAGUGGAUCAACCUCUUUUGCAUUCUGGUCCAAUUUGGUGAUUUGUACUGCAACCAUAUUUUUCCUUGCUCUAGUGACCCUGAGCUUUCUCCUACUUGUAGCCCUCCCUACCAAACUCUUAAGUCCAGGACAUUGGGCUCAUUGGAGGUUUUGAAGUGCAUACUCUAAACCCUUCUGUUUUCUGUCCAGAACUGGAGUUUUGCAAAUCUUGCACUAUAAACUUUCUGUUUUUGCCAAACUAAGCCUACCACCAUCUCCUGCAUCUAAAGAGACACUGAUCUAGAGAUUUUGGCCACUCCAAGAGUUGCCUAAGUGCACUUGGCAUUCUGUCGAACACCUGGUGUGCACAGUCUUUUUUGGCAAGCUCUCUGGUUUGCAUUGUGGACUUGUACCCUAGCCCCUUCAACCUUGUCCACUGAGCUUCUAGCCACCCCUACCCUUGAUCAGUGCUUUGCCAGCUCCACCCUCGCGCUCUAGACCACACUGGCAUUCCGUCGAGCACCUGCCGUGCGUGCUCUGGGCGCGCCCAGAGCGCAUGUUUUGCACGCGCGCGCACUACGCCGACACGUCGCACUGCCGCGCUCGACGCGACCCGACCCUGGCCCCUUCUGCAUCGCUGAGCCGCGCACUAGCCGCCCCCUGCUCCACGAUACCUCUGGCGCCCUGCUGCGCCGCUGGCCGCGCCCUUGGCGGCACGCCGGCGUCGGCAGUGGAUUCUGCCGCGGACGGCGCCGCCCAAACCACCAGCGCACGCCAGCUGCCCCGGAGCACAGGUCGUGCUUAUCCUCCUGCUCGUCGGGACGCUUUCGUCGCCGCUGCGUUGCCCUGCAACUACAGCAACGGCUGUCGCCGACGAGCUUAUCUUCUGCCGCCACGGAGCCCGCCUUGUCGCGCUAUAAAAAGGAACCCCGAGCCCCUCCGAGUGUUCAGGCGACAUCAGACUUCUCCCGUAGAGCUUCCCGCGCAGUAGAUCGACCGGAGAGGACCGUUUCCCCCAACUCCGGCCAACUCGGCCGCCGCCAAGCUCCGGUGCGAUUCAUCACAACCAGUCGCCCUUUCGCCCAACUAGCGCCACCAGAAGCUUCCCCGUAGUCUUGCGGAGCUGCCCAGCUACCCAGCUUCGGUCGGAGACCACCGGAGCACAAUAGUCACUCCACCACCGUAGCUUCCCUCGCCGCGGAGCUCGCCGCCGGCGAUUCCUGCCACCUCCGUCGACCCUUCAACCACCCAGAGGAUCGCCUCGGUCUUGCCGUCCCAUCCCUGCCCGCAGAUGCCCUCAAGGAGCCGCCGCUCGUCGCCGGUGACCGCCGGAGCCCCGCCACCGUUCGGGCAGAAGAAGGAGAUGGAGGGAAGAACGGUCAAACCUGACCAGUGGGCCCUCGGGACCCACUGUCAGUGACCCGCGCGGCCGCCCUCUCUCUGCUUAAGUGAAGGCGCAAAACCCCGCGUACGUUUCUCUGCUGCGAAAGCGUAUUCCCCGCGAAGCGUUUUCCUUUUUCUGGUUUUAUUUAAAAACAGAUUUGACCAAACUUUGACUGGCUAUAACUUUUAAAAUAAAAUUCCAAAUGAGUUGAUUCUUUUUCCUACCUCUCUCAAAUUUCAUCUAGUUUAAUUUAAGAUUUAUUACAAAAAUAUUUGAGACAGGUUUUGGUACUGUGUUUGAAAUAUUUGUAUUUGUGUAUUUUUUUUUUGCAAAAUAUGAUUUUUGGAGGAAAAGGAAAGCUUCCAAUAAGUGCAUCCUUUGCAUACUCUUGAAGGCAAGCAUUUCUGAACUCUGGCAUAAUAUUUUGGGAGGUGUUUGGAUAUGGUUACAACACCUUUUGACUUGGAGUAUGUGACAGUUUAUGUAUCGGUAUGGUCUCGUGCACGAGUGCACUUUGGAGUUGUUUGUGGUCAGCAAUGGAUACACUAAGGAUUUGGAUCAUCCUCGUGAGCUUCCCUUGCACACCGGUAGGAGGCCGGGAAAGUCAUGGUCUUGGGUAGACGCGAGCUUGUCCCAAAUCCCUCGUUGAGACGAGUAUGCCCGGCACAGCAUGGUGAGGCUCGAGGAGUGGUGAUUUAUUUCACUAGUGGUAAUAUCGUUGGUGGAUACUUGGACCACCUGAGUCGGUUGUAGACCGAGUCUUGUUCAAUAGCUUCCUUUUGUCGGUACCACCACUUGUCCCUGCAGGGGACAGGGUAUGGUUCAGUAGGUUGUCAACCCCUUUCCAAAGCACACACCGUACAGAGAGGCCGUGAUGAAGGUCCCGUGGCCACGGAUUAAAGCCUGUCAUUCGGUCCGGGGGCAUGGGUGUUUCCAGUUGGAGCCGAGGGGGGUUGCUCCCCUAGUUUGCGCGCGGUAUAAAUUCUGUGAUCCCAUGCUACUCGAGGUUGUAGCCUCCCCACUCAGAGUUUUGCUUGGCGGGUGUCGUGGGUGAUUCCAGGCACUAGUGGGUUAAGCUGGUGUGUGCAGGUUAGGCGUGUUUUCAGUCAAAAGACCGUAGACGGAAUUAGUCCCGAGGGACUGAGUAAUCCCGUUACUCGUGGAAAAUGGUACUCCCUCUGCAGAGGAUAUAUCCUGUCGGAUAGUCUUGUUCUUGAGUAAAGGACCACAGCCUAAGUUGAGUCUCUGUAACGGUAUACGGAUGGAGAACGAUUUAACUAGAGCUUAGUAACGGAAUUCGGAUGGAGAUACGGCUUGACUAAAUUAUCGGUUUUCGGAUGGAGAAACGACUGUAUUAAAUUUUGUUUAUGAUUAUGGCACCUUUGGUUUAUGAUCUUUAUUGUUUUGGACUAACCAUUUAUAUUACGCACGUUAUUGAGUAUCCCUGGGAUGGUUCUACCUCCUGGAUAUUCACUGUGAUUAUUCUCUUAUAAGCCCUUUCUGUGGCGUCGCUCAGACGCCCGACUGCGGCAUUAUUAUUGUUCAUUUACCUUUUAUAAGCCCUCUAUGUGGUGUCGCUUAGACGCCCGACUGCGGCAUUAUUAUUGUUCAUUUACCUUUUAUAAGCCCUCUAUGUGGUGUCGCUCAGACGCCCGACUGCGGCAUUAUUAUUGUUCAUUUACCUUUUAUAAGCCCUCUAUGUGGUGUCGCUCAGACGCCCGACUGCGGCAUUAUUAUUUCUGCAUUUUUUCGCUCGAGGAGUCAUUCAGACACUCGUUUGGCACCUGUAUUAUUAUUCCGCAUUUUCCGCUCGAGGGGUCAUUCAGACACUCGUUUGNNNNNNNNNNNNNNNNNNNNNNNNNNNNNNNNNNNNNNNNNNNNNNNNNNNNNNNNNNNNNNNNNNNNNNNNNNNNNNNNNNNNNNNNNNNNNNNNNNNNNNNNNNNNNNNNNNNNNNNNNNNNNAGACGCCCGACUGCGGCAUUAUUAUUGUUCAUUUACCUUUUAUAAGCCCUCUAUGUGGUGUCGCUCAGACGCCCGACUGCGGCAUUAUUAUGGUUCAUUUACCGUUUAUAAGCCCUCUAUGUGGUGUCGCUCAGACGCCCGACUGCGGCAUUAUUAUUUCUGCAUUUUUUCGCUCGAGGAGUCAUUCAGACACUCGUUUGGCACCUGUAUUAUUAUUCCGCAUUUUCCGCUCGAGGAGUCAUUCAGACACUCGUUUGGCACCCAGUAUUUUAUUUUGGUAUAUUUUUAGCCGUAUGUGGGCAUCUUGGUCUUAUGUAUUUUUCGUGACAGGCGUGUGAUCAUCUAAUUAAUUCGGAACAUGUUUUUGAUUUAUUAUACCCGUGUUCUUAAUGUUUGCGAAUACAUUCAAACGUACUCACUGGCUUGUCCCUGGCUAUUGUCUUGGCCAGAUUUCCUUGCGUGGAGGUAUGCAUCGCGGUGACAACCUCGGAACCUACGCUGUUGACGUUUGCAACCUCGCGAAGAUAGGAGUUAUCCUGGUCAGCUGUUCUUGUGGGAAAUGGAGUCCCAUUGACGCAGAUGUACCCCAGCCGCUUCCGCCCUCAACCAUUAGAAAUCAAAUGUUGUACUCCUAGGCCUAAAUGGUCUUGUACUACAUAUUUUGUUCCUUGCUUGGAAUUCUUGUAUCAAGUUGGUGCCUCGUCAGCUAACAGUAAUCCUGGGGCUGGUGAGCACACAGGUCGUCUUUCUGGGAAUAUAUAUCCCAAAAAUCCGGUCGUGACAUGCUUUCCGAAUCCACAGAAUCCACAGCGUUGGAGCCACACACAGACCCAACAUCUUGCAAUAUCUGCAUCAACGGAAUUCCGAACUUGUUUCCGGCCAUGAGUUCCGAACCACGCACGCCUGCGGACGCUGAGCGGGAUCGGUUAUUGAUCUUCGAGUUCAGCGCUGCAGAUAUCUUCCAACACUCGCCCUUGGGCGAUGUGCCAAAUUCAUUAAAGAGCCUGUCCUUGGCAGGGGAUUCACAGCCGAACUAUGUCCGGUUCGAACCGGAGGCUGAUGAUAGAGAAUUUCGCUUCCCACCCGCCACCCACUGCAUAGCCACUGUCGAGGAUUUAACCAACAUGUUUGAUUAUGGCUCUGAAGACAUCGACGGUAUGGACGACGAUGCCAACAAGGAGCAAGGCCAAGACCCGCCAUUCACCGGACGUUGGACGGCCACCUCUUCGUACGAUGUGUACAUGGUUGACACACCUAAAAAAUCUAGCAACAAUGACAAAGAAGAUCCAGUCGCGAAUAAACCUCCUGAGACACAGUCCAAACGCCGGUGCCCUAAAUGCCGCUCUAAGUCACAUCGCUCAACAGAUAGCAACGCUGGCACCGGAGAAAGUGGCACUCUGGACGACGUGGAAAAUAAUGAAGACCCUGUUGGAGCAAGAUCCGAACAGGAGGGACAAGAAAACGGGCAAGCUAGCCCCGAUGAACAGGCCCUGCCUAGCGACAAUUCGGAGGACGACAACUACCUUCCGCUCUCCGAAGAUGAGGUAAGCCUCGGCGACGAAGACUUCGUCGUACCCGAAGAACCCCUCGAGCAGGAGCGCUUCAAGCGCAGGCUAAUAGCUACUGCAAGGAGCCUGAAAAAGAAGCAGCAGCAGCUUCAAGAUGAUCAAGACCUACUCAACGAUAGAUGGACCGAAGUCCUGGCCGCCGAAGACGGCCUUAGUGGCCCAGCCAAAAGCUACCCGAAGCAUAGACUGCUACAUCAGUUCGAUGACGAGGCGUUGGAGCCCGUACCAUCAUCACACAAUUCCACAGGUCGUCGACAACCCGGUCCGGAUAAAGAGGCAACUCAAGCUGAACACCAGACCGCCCCACCCCGCCAUAAAGGCAAGAAUAACACAGCCUGUGGGAGUACAGACGACCUUCGACGGGACUUGGACAGUAGUGCAGGACACGCAAAUAUCGAUCUACGGAUCGCGAGGGCAUGCCCGGACACGCGACGAUGGCUACCUAUCCGGACGUGACAAACCCAGCCACGCCCGAGCCGGAAACCGCAAAUGGACUCCUUCGGAGUUACGUCGCAGUGUGGCCCAACAUAGAGGCGCCGCACACCCUCUUUGCUUCACAGAUGAAGUAAUGGAUCAUGAAUUCCCCGAGGGGUUCAAGCCCAUCAAUAUUGAAUCAUACGACGGAACAACCAAUCCCGCAGUAUGGAUCGAGGAUUUUAUUCUCCACAUCCAUAUGGCCCGUGGAGACGACCUCCACGCCAUUAAAUACCUCCCACUAAAGCUAAAAGGGCCAGCUCGGCACUGGUUAAACAGCCUGCCUGAAAAUUCCAUAGGCAGCUGGGAGGACUUGGAAGAGGCCUUCCUCGACAACUUCCGAGGAACAUAUGUCCGGCCACCGGAUGCCGAUGACCUAAAUCACAUUGUCCAGCAGCCCGGAGAGUCAGCCAGGAAGCUCUGGACUCGGUUCUUAGUCAAAAAGAACCAAAUCGUUGACUGUCCGGAUGCGGAAGCCCUUGCGGCUUUCAGACAUAGUGUCCGGGACGAAUGGCUUGCACGCCACCUCGGUCAAGAAGGACCUAAAUCCAUGACAGCCCUCACUGCUCUGAUGACCCGCUUUUGCGCGGGAGAAGACAGCUGGCUCGCUCAUAGAAGCAACAGCGCCAGUGACCCGGGCACUUCGGAAAUCCGAGACGGCAACGGCAAAGCAAAUACAACAGUCGCAAUGAUAAUGAAAGAUCACGUGACACAUCGGUCAAUGCCAGAUUCAGCAAUCCCAAGCCCGGUCAACGGAAGAAGCCAUUCAAGGCGAACCGAGACGAACCAUGCAACCUAGACAAGAUAUUGGACCGACCCUGCAAGAUUCACGGCCACCCCGAUAAACCAGGUAAUCCCAACAGAAGCUGCUGGGUAUUUAAGCAGGCCGGCAAGCUCAACACCGAACACAAGGGGAGGAGGCCGCCUGGCGACAGGGACAACGGGGAGGUUCACCAACAAAACACCGGGGCUCAGAAGCAAUCUCCACCAGAGGAUCGAUGACUCCCGGAGCGGUAGCAGUCUGGCUUCUGCCGCCCACCUCGUAUACCUGCAAAAUUUGUACCGCGCAUACAUCACUGCGCACUCAAGAUACCAUGGGCAUUGGCGGAAGCACACUACGGACAAGCCUGCAUGCAUUCCCGUAACAUUUUUUAUCUAUUUUGUUUUAUUUUUUCCUUCACUAUCUCUUAAAAACAGGUGAAGAACAGGACAAACAUCUAAAACUGACUCUAUCGGUGUUCAGAUCCGUACACUCACCUAUGGUGCUACUUCCAUCAAGGAUUCCCCUCGCCGAAGACAGGCGACGCAGACGUGCGACAGCAGGUCCAAAUAACUUUUUGUAGACCGCACUCUUUAUUUCGAGCCUCUACUAUGCCUCUUCCUCCGCCUUCGACCCCGAGCAUGUCAAAUAGCCGGGGUUGUGGUCUUUAUAUAUAUAUAUAUAUAUAUAUAUAUAUAUAUAUAUAUAUAUAUAUAUAUAUCACUCAGGUCCCAUUAAAACAGUAUCCGAAUUAAUCAUUCGUGUUAUUUCGCCAAUGAAUAUGGCUCCCAUGGUUGUUUCACAGAUAUACCUUAGCAUAACCCGCCAGGGGCUCGGUAUGGGAACAAAUGAGUUGCCAGCAAAAGUCCGAACAGCUCUAUAGCGUACUUCGGCGUCGCAAGUUUGGCCUUAUAUGCAUCAGCUCCGAAUCAUUGUCUUGGGUCAAUAGUUGGGUUGCCCGGCUCCUGUGCUUGCUACCCUACGUUCCGCUCCAUCGGCUAGGGUAGUAAAGGGAGAACUAUUGCGAUUGUGCUUCCGGUUCAUCUAGUCAAGUACCUCAGUAGAGAAAGCCGAAAACUGACCAUCAUGAUGCGGCGAGAGCUGGUCAACCACUUGAAGAUUUAUUGGAAUCUUUAGCGAUUCUCUGUGUCACACGAGGGAUCUUUUUCAGAUCAAACAUGUAAAGCAUCGUAUUAUAAUACGCUGCGUACAUACCAGGGGCUAUGUCGUAGUCCCACCAUAAAACUCCUAUGGCUAAGUGAAAGUGUUAACGCCUUAUAGUCCGAUUGCCUGGUUCGCCGCAUUAUCACCUCCUUCAUGGACCAAGACAUUGGAUAAAGAGUGAUUAAAUGCUUUUUCGAACACCCCCGUACUUCCUACAAGGGGGCUGAAGCCGACGACUGGAAAACUUUCAGAUUAUAUUAAAACGGCAGCACAUGAGGAAUACAAGCUUUCGAGCAAAACAUAAAAAUAGAUUAAUUAUAAAAUUGUCUUUUACAAUUCUCAUUCACCUCACUCGAACAUCAUGUCUUUCGAGCACUGGCCCUCUAUCAAGCGGGCGGCCUCUAGGAUGUCAUCAAAAUAAUGCUCCGGUUCAGGACGGUCCUUGCCCUUGGGUGGACUCUUCGCUGCAACAUCGAUGGCCUUCAUUUUCCCCCAGAAUGUCCUGACUCGGGCAAAAGCCAUCUGCGCACCCUCAAUGCACGCCGGCCGCUUCACAGCAUCUAUACGCGGCACCGCUUCAACAAGCCUUUGCACCAAACCGAAGUAGCUAUCCGGAACAGGCUCAGUUGGCCACAACCGAAUUAUGACAUUCUUCAUGGCAGCGCCGGAUAUCGUAUGAAGUUCGGCCCAUUGGGACAUCUGUUCAUUCAGCAACAGAGGGCACUUUGAUGCGCCAAACUGUGACCAGAAAAGCUUCUCCGUUGCAUACCCAUCUCGCGCUUGGUAAUACUGCGCCGCAUCGGAAGAACUCUUCGGCAAGUUUAAGAACUCGUCCGGAGAACUCCACACUCGGUUAAGCUGAGCAUAGUUCGGAUCACCGAACUUAGUUUGCAGCAAAAAGGGCUUACUAGACGCAAUCUCCCCAGCUUGCCGGAUCUCCUCACGGGCUGCUCUCGAUUCCGACCGCUCUUCUCUCGCCUCUUGUAAGGCCCUGUCUAGUUCAGCCGUUUUGGCUUCAUUCUCCUUCUACAAAAAUUCACAGCGGCUGGUAGCAUUUUUCAGUUUGAGUGCCAUCGUGGAUGCUUUCUCCUCGUCUUGGCACCGUGCAACUUGUUUGGCUUCUAACUCAGCCGAUGCCUUUUCAGCAGCAGCAUUGCUACAUCGUGCCUGCUCCUUGGCCCAGGCCAGCUCCGCUCGAAGAACUUCAACGGCGGCAGCACCAUCUUCAGCCAUGGAUAUUCCAGCAUAUAAAUUUUAGCAUCAUGCUUAUACCACAAAAAUGUAUGGGGAUUGCCCCGAAUACAUACCUUGCGACUCAUCAAGACGCAUAUUGAUUAACGCAAGAUCGUCCCCUGCUACAUCAAGCUUCCGCUGCAGCUCAGCAAUAUCCAUAGUCUAGGAAGUGGCCAAGGGGGAAGCAGCUUGUGUUCAAGUUCAUCAGGUUAGUCCUCGAAUGAUCCUUUUCGAUCUCCGUUUGCUUCCCAGUGGAAGCCAACCCAAGUCUAGGGGCUACUACCUAUACACAGGUGCAUCUUUGCAAAUAAAACAUAGCUAAAAACAUUAUAUCACAAACCUCGAAGCCUUUUAGCAGGCUCAUGAAGGCUUCAUUUAAUCUGCUCUUCGCGGACAAAAUCUUCUCAACCACUGUACCCAUCAAGGUACGCUGUUCCCCUGAGACAUAUGCGUUUUGCAACAUGUCCUGUAAUAUGUCCGGAGCCGCUGGGUCUCCGGAAGCCGCUCUAGGAGCACAGUCAUCCUUUGAAGGAAUUCGUUCACCCGUCUCCGGAAUCAUCGUCAGCUGCAAGCCAGACAAUCCGGGGCCUUUAUUAUUGGCCCCAGAAUCCCGGACGGUCGGAGAUCCACCUUCGGGCACUGCCUCUUUCAUCCCCGGCAUAGCUUGUUGAGCAAGAAAAACCCUCCGCGAUGACACUUCGGAGUCAUCCGCCUUAUUGGGCGAGGAGGUCGGGGGAGGCGUCUCGCUUUCCAUCAUAUCUGGGAGGAGACCUCCCGAAGAAGAGGAUUGCCCCGAAUAACUCUGUGCUGACCUAUAGAAAUGCACGGACACGUUACGUAUAUCUUUGGUAACGGCAAAGGAGCGGGACGCUAUCAAAGCACCCCGGAUUCACUCACGGUUUGGUUGAGGACUUGUCCCCAUGUUGGAACUGUUCAACAGCAUCGCUUUCCAAACCUACGCCGCUCAACGGCGACAUCUUGCCCCUCUUGGGAGACCGCCCCUCCCAACCUUCGGAGGCGGCCCUUUUCCUCCUGCUCGGAGAAGGGAUACUGGCUCCUCUCUCGCCUCUAUCUUCGGGCGAGGAAAGGUCGAUUUCUCCGGACUCAGUAUCCGACUUACCUCCGGAACAAAGGUCAUCCGAGGUCUUUUCACUCUCCUCUUGGCCAUCCCUUGCCGGCGCCAGGUAUGGUGCCGAGGCCAGCAUCCUUGUUAGCACAGGAUCAGCUGCGUCUUCGGGGAGGGGAGCCGGACACCUAAUCUGCUCCACUUUCUUUAUCCAGCCCUAAAAAAGGAUGGUUCGGUCAGUGUCUUACCACUGGGUAUCCGAUUAUACGGUGUUCGGCGAAUAGGCACUUACCGGGGUGUCCGGAUGGUUACAGUCUAGACCGACAUCUUCGGUGGUGUCCGGCCAUUGCUUUCGUUUCCCGAAGAAUAAUAUCCACAUUCCUUCGUGCGUUGUGCCGAAGAAGCGCUGAAGAGUUCGCGACCCUUCUGGAUUAAACUCCCACAGGCGGAGAGGCCAUCGCUGGCAAGGCAGGGUCCGACGGACUAGCAUUACUUGGACAACGUUGACAAUAUUGAUGUCCCUCUCAAUGAGGCUUCGGAUGCGACUCUGCAGAGCCCGCACCUCGUCCGUUGAUCCCCAGUCCAACCCCUUAUUAAUCCACGAUGCAAGCUGAAUUGGGGGGCUCGAUCGAAAUGCGGGCGUAGCUGCCCACUUGGAGCCACGUGGCUCGGUGAUAUAAAACUACUCCUGCUGCCAUAAGUCCGAAGAUUUGGCAAAGGAUCCUUUCAGCCAAACAGCGCUAGCAAGCUUGCUCACCGUGGCACCACCGCACUCUGCCUGCUCCCCCUCUAUCACUUGCGGCUUCACAUCGAAGGUCUUGAGCCACAAGUCGAAGUGCGGAGGAGUACAGAGGAAGGCUUCGCACGUGACAAUAAACGCCGGGAUAAGAAGAAUAGAGUCCGGGGCCAGAUCGUGAAAAUCCAACCCGUAGUAGAACAUGAGCCCUCGGAUGAACGGGUUAAGUGCAAACCCUAACCCGCGGAGGAAGUGGGACACGAACACGACCCUCUCGCCGGAUCUAGGGGUGGGAAUAACCUACCCCUCGGCAGGAAGCCGAUGAAGGAUUUCUGCGGUCAGAUACCUCGCCUCCCGAAGCCUUGCAAUAUCUCCCUCCGUGACAGAAGAAGCCACCCACCGGCCUUGGCAGCUGGAUCCGGACAUGAUCGGAGCUUGUGACGACUGAAACCCGGGUGUUGGAACUCGGGGUAGCAAGGGUUGAGGGGGAAGCAAGCGUGAAAGAAAAAAGACGGGUCUGUGCCCCUAUAUAAAGACCGUGAAUAUCGAGCGUCUCCUCCUGGGCCUCAAAACUUGCCUAUUCCCGAGGAGUUGUACCCAAAGUGAUGGUUGGGUUGCCCACGUCCGGGUUAACAAGAACCCCUUAAAAAAGGGAGACACGAUCUCCGCUUGGAUAAGACGAUUCCAAUAAAAAACUGUCUGUGGGAAACGACACCUAUGGGAUCACAAGAAUCCCUACUACGGUUGCAGGGUUGUGAGAAGAGCAGGAAUAACAGUCAACACAAGGAUCGUUUACCCAGGUUCGGGCCGCAAGGAUGCGUAAUACCCUAGUGCUGCUUUGGUGUGUAUUUGAGAGAGUUCUUGAGCUCUCGAACUAGCUAUAGUGGCUGCGUAGUUCCAAAGAGACGAAUCCCUCUCCGGUAUGCCAAGGGCCUCCUUUAUAGUCGGAAGGGGCUGCCACAGUGGCACACGGGAGGUGGAAAGGCCUACAGGGCUGCGAGCUUAUCGCCCGUAUUACAGGACAAGACGCAUUUAAUGCGCAGCUUAGGUGUCCCUUAGCUUUAUUGGGGACGGGAACGAGGCUCGUCCCGUCCGCUACCGCCUCGCCCUGCUUCGACACGCGCCCAGGCCAGCGGUUCAUGCAGCGCCAUGUAGGUAGGCAGGCAGCUGAGGUGGCGCGGUCGUAGGAUCUUCACGAAGAUCUGCAUGCCACCACGCAGGUGCUUGCUGAGUUGGCGUAGAGGCCGCCCAUCAUCACGCAGGUGCCUGCCCAGCUGGUUGAGCUAGCAGCUGCUUGGGGACGGCGGUGGAGUCUUGGUCGACGCGGGCCUGGCUGUGGCCCCGCUGGCGCCCUCGGCAAGGGCCUUGCCGGGGGCCCGACAAGGGUCUUGCCGUGGCGUUGUAGUUGUCACCGGCAAGGCGCUUGCCGGGGGUCUUGUGGAUCUCCUCGGCAAGGAUCCCGCUGAGGGUCGCCGUCUUCUGGUCCUUAUCUGAUCUCAUAUCUCUAUGUUCUUGACAAAGAUCUGCAUGCCACUACAUAGGUGUCUCCCGAGCCCUGGUCCAAUUGUAGUUGGUUGGGUAGGAACCCAUGGGCUCAAGGGCGGCUCGCUCUGUUGGUAUUUGGGCAAGUUGCCCCGGCAAGGCUCUUGUCGGGGCCGCAGAGGCCUGCCCUGGCAAGGAUCUUGCCGGGGGAGUCCACCUCGCCCUCUCGCUCUUUGGUAUCUUUGGUCUUGGCGUUGCCUUGGCCAUCUUGUGCUUCGGCUUCUCUCCGGCUUCCCUCCUCUGCCCUGUUUAGUGUGGGCGUGGCGCGCGGCUACGACUGCCCGUGCACAAGUGAAGGGGUACAAAAGUGUGCCCUUACUUUCGUACACCGACAGGAGCCCCCGGGCCUGGGCCACACAUAAGUGCGACACGUUGUUGGGCCAGGCCCAAAACGGUGCCCGGGCAGGAGGGGCAAAUUCUACCGUAGUAAUUUCCUGUCUGUUGUGCUUCCCCACGACCUGCGUUGAAUGCGCGACGUGGGGGGGGGGGCAUGCGUGACGUGGGCGGCAUGCGUGGGACGGUUUCCGCAUGCAUGCGUCACAUCGUGGUAAAGAGCCGACUCGCGCCUUGCCCAUGAAAAGAGGGAGGCGUGGAGGCGCGACUCAUUUACUGGAUGGACUUGGGCCGCAGUCUUCGAGGCGCCCACGCCCCCCGAUCACGGGGCGGGGAACAGUCGCCUCAUCCGUCCUUUCGACCCUGCACGUUCGCCACGCGUCCUUCAUGCGAGCGGCGGGCUGUGGAGGCGAGAAACUGGGCCGUCGCUGAUUAGGGCAGCGGGUCGGUCCCUAUUCCCUGCGCCUCCGCCGGCUGGAUUGGCUGAGUGGGGCGGCCGAGCCUCGACCCCGCCCCUUUAUAAGGAGGUGGGAGGGGGGCGUCAUCCCGCAUUCCUUCAGUAUCCAUCCUCCUUAAUCCUUGCUUCUUUCUUCCACCUGCCAUGGCGAGAGAAGGUGCUGGGCCUUCGACGGUGGCAGCGAGGGUCACCGCUCAUCAGCGCGUCCCUCCUUCCCAUGAGCCCGUGGCGGUGAGCCAGCCACAAGAGGAAGGGGGAGGGGGCGUGGCCGAGGUCGCCGCGGCGGUCGGGGGAGAGGAGGACGAGGUGGCGCGGCAGACGUGCCUCCGCCAGCGGUGCCUCCCGUGAUGGAGGGCCAUGUCGGGGACCGGCCCCGCGAGUUCUUCAUCAGGCCGGGCCGGCCACCGCGUCGUCAUCUCCGUCUCCCCACCCCCUUCGCUGAGGAGAUGGAGCUCGAUCCGCCCCAUAACCUCAGAUUGCACAUGAGGGGCUGCGAGACCGGCGGUACGCGGGUCGACGUCGACUUCCCCGCUCCGCAUGUUAUGUAUCUUCGUCGUGGAUGGAAGACAUUUCCUCGCAUCCAUAGCCUGACGGUGGGGCUUGUCCUCUACUUCAAGUUAAUGGAAAGCGGCCUUCUCUCCGUCAAGGUCUUUGGAGAUCUUGGAACUCGCCUGAAGUGCUGGGUGGAGAGCUCCUCUGACGAUGAAGAUUCCUCCUCGAGUGGGAGGGAAGAGGAGGACAGCGACAGCGACGACGAGGGAGUCGGGCGGCAGGAUACCGACCCCGACUUCGACUGAUCGCGUCGCCCCUCCCUCGGCCUCGCGCCCUGCCGAGGGCCUUCCUCGUCAAGCUCUCCAUCGGUGCGUUCCCCAUCGCCUCCUUGGGCGGCUGGCGUAGGAGGGCCGGAGAAGGCGAAGAAGGCGGGCGGUGGCCGUCAACUCGUAGUACGCGGGCACCGACGCCUUCGUCGCGUAUCGUCGGUCCGUUGCCUCAUCUUCCAGCACCUCCGCCGGCACCGGGAUGCUCUCUUGGCGCCUUCUGUUUCUCGUACCUUGCCUAGGCGCUCCUUUCGCCCUCCUGCUGUCUUGCUUCACCUCCUGAGGAGAGGGACAAGAAAGGGAUUACGGGCACCUUAUCUCUUU